rnacentral:lncRNA from 1 species
GCAGAAGGAUAAAAGUUUCUCAAAUCUGAAAAGAUGGGAGAGUACUUUAGUAUCAGUUUUGUGAUCAUCUUAAUGAUUUAGAGACCUUAUCACAAUUCAUCCUCUAAGAGCCUUCUUAUAGCUAAGAAGAGGAACUUGAAUUGUUGAAGUGGUUAAAUCAAGAAGAUGAUUCAUACUUCGUUCCAAAAACAAUUCAUAGAGUUAUACUCUAAGAUUGUAACUUGAGUGACAUGUCUUAAAGAAGGUUUAAAACACUUGUCAAAUGUAAGAGUAAAAGUUUUCUACUCUUGUACAUUUGAAAUUGGUAAGCUGUGAUGUUUUGGAUAAAACAAAGAACAACUUAGGCCAAUUAUGUGAAGUGUUUGUCUUGAUUAGAAUCCACAUUAUCUCUUGGAUGUUUGACAAGGGAGUCUUAUAGGUCAAGAGGACAAUGAGAGUCUUAAAGGUUUUGAAACUCUCAAGAACUAAUCAAGAACAGAACCUGAAGUUCUUCACUAGCAAACGACUUGAGGUUUAUAACCUAUCGUGUUGACAUAUUCUGUGCCCAUUCCAGUUAAAUUUGGCUUUGCAUAUGAGUUCUUAGAGUUCUCAAUUGGUUGCACAACAACUUGGAAGCAAUGGCAGGCCCUUGAGCUGCCAGGUGGCAAGAAAUUAAGAUUGAGUUCAGUCCAUAUGAGUUUGGAUUUGUCAUUAUCCUUGUCUUGUGACUAUGGUUUUGACAAUUCACAUGGAUAAGAACACAUACACCAUUAAAUCUAAGUGUCAUAAGGUUUCUCUCCGAUUCAUGAAAAUGAUGGUGAGGAAACACUUUCACUAAGUAGAUUUUAGCUAGAUAGCAAUUGUGAUAUUUGCAUUCUCAAAGUCGUUAGUGGAGCGUGUGUGGUUUACCGGCACACUAACCUGGACUUGUGAGAAGUGGCAAAAAGGUCUAACCAUUAUGAUUACGGCAUCCCUCUUCAUAAUUGUUUAGACACACAAGUGUGCUAUCUAAGGGAAGGUGUAUGAUUUUGAUAAAGUUUUAUCAAAACAAUCUAGUAUCAGAAAUCUGAACUUUGGUAAGAAAGUCAAUGAAGUAUUGAUUUCUAGAAGUCCAGCUGAUUUCUGAGUACAUGUCAAAGCUAGUGGGAGCAUAAGUGUUAUGCUAAUAAUCAUCAUGUUAGUGGGAGCAUGAUAAUUAUGAUAAGUAUUGCAAGUUAGCAAUGUUAAUUAUAGAAAACAAAAGUUUCAAUUGGGAAAAAGUUGUUUUGCUAUAAUUAAGGGAGAGGAAAUUAUGCUUCAUCUCAAAUCUAUAAGCUUAGAUCGUGAGGUUUUAAUCAUUUAGUCAAGGAUAUAUAUGAAUUUCAUGUUGGAAUGGCUCAACAUAAGGAAAUUCUGUAUAUGGGUCCAUUAUUUGCGUUCUAAAAUUCGAUUAUGAUUACGGCAUCCCUUUUCAUAAUCUGAAUUAUGAGAACUUGGCAAAUUGAAAUGGAAAUAUUAUAGCAAAAGACUGGUUUAGUCUUUAUGUGAGACAUCAUGAAUCGUGUCCCAUAUGCUUCGGAUAUAGGAUCGAUUACAUGUGCUAUAUUCAUCCGUUCUAAAAUUUUCCAAAUGCCUGGGGCAUUAAGAAGGGAAAAGGUUUAGAACUGGAUAUGACUAAAAGGAUUAAACAAUUGUCGAGGACAAUCUAAGGUUUACCAAAGAUUGGUUGCUCAAGGACAAUUGGAAGUAUAGUGAUAAUUCUGGAAGGACCAUAUUGACAUAAUCUGUAAGGAGGCAACUCUUGUUCAGAAGUGAUAGUCAAAAUGGAAUCUGGAAAUGUUUCAAAGUUAGAAUUUUCAAUCUGUGUAAGAUUAAGGAAACUUAAUGCAAGAAGGAUAUUUCCAAGGAGUUGAUCUCCUUUGGAAUACUCUGUAAUGAUUGUUGCCAAGUCUUUGUGACUUUGUGCAUAAUCAUUACAAGAGGAUCAAUGCAUAUAAGUUUAGAAUCUAACAGAUUUCAGUAAAUGGCAUGAAUUUGGAAUUCUUGCAUUUGCAGUAAGGAUUUGGGAGUGUGAAAAGAGAAUCAUUGAAGUUAUGUUCAAUUGAUCUAGUUCACAAAGUAAAGAUCAUAGACAAACAUAGUAUGCAUACUUGGUGUGUGGCAUGACUAGUGUUUAAGAAAACAUAGUGUACAUGCUUGGAGCAUGGGACAACUAUUGUUUUAAAUUCAAGAAUAAAGUUGAUAGCUGAAACAGUAUACAAUGAAUAAUGUGUAAUCAUAUGGUGAUAAAUAAAAGGUGUUUUAUUUAUGUUCAAAGGGUUGAUACCAUAUUGGAUUCAAUUAUUAUUGUGUUUCAUUUUGCAUGUUUUGACUUCCCGAAUAAACUGGGUUAUUCUUCCGGAAUGACUAAGUUAUUCAAACCAUCCACAGUCGGUCAUAUGUUGGAAGUAGAUAUGAAUUAAGACUGUCAUGGGUUGGCUUGUAGAGGUCUAAGGUGUUGGACAAAGGGCUACAACACUCAUGAGUGCUCAUAAGUUCUGAGUAUUGGAUUCAACCCGCGCUCAUUGGAAUCACUUCAUGGAUUUUAUCACGAGUGAUCAUGAGACGAUAAUAUCUUAUAUUCUUCAAACCUAGAGAUAUGAGUUGUUACUAUGAGUUGAUAGUACAUUGAUUGCACGAAAACGCAUUUGGUAACUCGGUGCUAUAAAACGUGCCUUUGUGUAUGAUUCAACAAGUAGUAGAACAAGCCAUAUGAGUCGAAGUUUAUCCGUUCCUUUUACCUUCGGGAUAAAAGCGAUAUCUGUGGGCCCCUCGAUGAUUUGAUGAUGACAAAUGGAAGUGCUCGGCCGGGCCAGGACUGAUUUGAUUUGUUCAAUUAGUCAGUCGUCAUAAAUCGGAAAUCGGGAAACAACAAAUGGACAGAGAGAAUGAUUAUAAUCCAUGUCUCAGUCCAUAUGAUAUCUAGAAUGGAGGAAUAUAUGAUCCCUUAUCUAAUGGACAAGUCAUUGACAAAGGUCAGAGUUCAUCUACAAGGUCAGAGUUCGACAGAAGCUUUUGAGAGCUACGAUUGCCAGUUGGUUCCUGAAGUCAUACGCAAUAAUAGUUUUAGACUUAUCCAAGUGGGAGACUGUUGGAUUAAUGUCUAAGUCCAUAACUAUAAUUGGUAAGACUUGACCCGACCCGGCAUGGUCCAUUUGGGUUGCAUACCAUCAUGCACUUGGAUAGACUAUAAUGAGAGAAAUAAGACACUUAUGGUUAUUAAUAUAUUAUAAGUUCUAGUAUAUUAAUAAUAAGAAUAAUAAGAUUAUUUAAUUAGUAUUGAUCAAGAAUUAAUCUAGGAUUAAUUAAGUGAUCAAAAGAAGACUAAUUAAAUAUAUGGGUUGAUUGUGUAAAUCAUCCAUACUUGUAUAGUGGGCUAAUGCUCCAUUAAUGCUCCAUGGAUUAUCUAGUUGGGCUAAAACACAUAUGAUGCUCCAUGGUGUUUUUGUACCCAUGGAUCAUGGAAAUGAAAAGCCAUGUCAAUUAGGGUUUACAUGGUGUAACCAUAACUAUAUAAGCAUCAUAUUAUUCACCAAAAUCGGCCACUAGAGAGAGUAAGAAAGGGCUAGCCGAUUUUCAUAAAGUGUAGAAUUCUCUCAAGUCAUUCCAUUUGUAUUUGGUGUUGUGUGAACCAUUUGAGGUGUCACACUUGGGGCACUAGGCACUCAAGCUUGAAGACUUUCUACAUCAAAGAGGUAUGUAUUCUAUCUUGUUACAUUCAUUGUUUUGUAUGCUAGAUUAGGAUAAUACCUUGGAAGUUCUUAUUUGCAUGUAUAAUAGAGAAAACAUAGAUCCAAGGUAUUUAGGGUUGCAUGUACACUUAGGAGUGUUAGAAUGCUCAUAACCUAACAUAACCAUCCAUACUCUGCCCGAAAUCCAUAAAUUCAAUACCUUGUGUGACUCCCAAACAAGCCAAACCAACCAGGAACAUAAUAUGCUUCACUUCGCAACUUGAACCAUACAAAACUAUUUCGACCCUGAAUUAUCUUGCUGAUACAUUAGAAAAUAGAACCUCUAACUAUUCAUUGAUGUUGAACCCUCCACUUGAAAGCAAGGCAACUCCCAGCAUGAGAGUCAGCUAAAUAAUUGUUGUAGUGAAACACGAACAACAUCAACAUAUUCCACAAACUCCCUUUGACCACUACAAAAUCAAAGCAUCUUAUAAAUAAAACUCAAGAGUUCACUCGGAAUCCACGGCUGCUAACAAACAACCCAAUAACUUGAGAAUACUCAAUCGCAACAACUAUCUUUCUCUCCCUAACUAUAAGACCCAACUUCCAGUGAGAGCCACAUAAUCGGAGAGUAUCAAAACUACAACCACAACCAACUCCAUCAAUAUACUUCUUUUUCACAACUAGAAAUUUUUGUGCCUUGUAACUACAACACUUAAGUCAAAUUAUGAAUCAAGACAUGAAAGCAUGCAUGAUACUUACUCUAUGACAAAAAAACUUCAAUUAAACAUUUCAUACAAGCACUACAAAUAGUCAACAAGCAAUUGGAAACCCUAGAAGUUCUUGUUUAGGUCUAUUUUGGACUAGGACUUUCUUAUUGGGCCCAAUGGACCAAUAAGCUUCCAAUUUGACUAUCUUGGGCUUAGAACUCUUAAAUGGGCUCUAAUUGGACCCACUUCCAUGUAUUUCAAUAUUUUGGGCCAUAUUGGGCCUAGAAUGAAAUAAAUUAAUUAUAUGAACCAUUUUGGGGCAUAAUUUACCUAAUUUAGCCCUAAUAGGUCAUAAAAAUCACACUUAUAAUUAUUAGGACCAAAAAAAUCACUCAACAUAACUAUGAAAUUGGGCUUAAGCCUUUAAGGCCCAAAAUCUCUCUUCUCUUUCCAUUCUCGACCCAAGCCCAAAGGAAAAGAGGAGUUGACUUUUCCUAUGCCACCUCACAAUUGCCUAAAGGAUUUCUAUGCAAAAUAACCCAUACAUCCAUGCAUUUCCCAUACUUCCAUGCAAGCACUCUCUUCUUCUCCCUCUCUCUCUUGCUCUCGGCCGAAUCCAAGCACACACACACACACACAUUUCACUCACAAUUCUCUCAAGAAACUCUCUCAUUUCUCCUCCAUAUUUUCGAGAUCUAAGAGGUGUUCAAGGGAUUUCUUCCAUAAAAAUCAUCAUCUAAGGUAAGAUAUUGCUUAGAUCCAUAAGCUAGCUAUUUCAUUUCAUUCAAGAAUCAUCUCUUAAUUCAUUCAAACUUAUGAUCUAGCACCUUAGAAGCAUCCAAGUUCGAGAUCUUUCAAGAAAGGUUGCUAGGAUCGAAUUCUUCUCAUCUUUUCCUUCCAAAACCGAAACCACACCCAAGGUGAGCUUCAUACCCCCUCUUUUUCGGUUUUUAUGAGUUUUUAUGGGGGAGAAUACAAGCAAAUGUGUAGAUCUAUGAGUAAAUGUAUGCCUUGUGUGAUUUUUAUGCUUGUAUGUAUGAUUUUAUGUGUUUUGUGAUGAUUAUGUUAGCCAAAAAGUACCUAAAAACCGAGAUCUAUAACAUGAGGAAUGAAAUAAACAUAACUUACACCAUUUUACACUAAUCAAGUCAAGAAAAAUAGUUCAUUUGGUUAGGAUGAACAUAUUUGGACAUAAAACCCAUUUUUGGGCUUAAAUUGUCAAAAAUACAAAACUAAGGGCCCAAAACGACAAAUGAUAAUUUCUGGAGGUUGAAAAGGGUCCAAACAGUUUCUAAUAUAAUUUUUCUGAAUAUCAACAUUUUUGAGGGGCUUAAAAUGUAAAUUUUGAACAUAAUGGGCUAAAAUGGGCUUUUCGGCCCAAUAAGCCCCAAAUUGCGAGAUUUUUGAAAUUGAGGGGCUGGAAAAGCAACUUUCUGUAAAACAGAGGAUUACAAGUGUAUUAAAACCAAUUCAAAGGUCAAAAAUGUUUUUCAAAGUCAAAAGGGAUCAAAAAUGCAAAAAUUUUCCAUUUUGGGCCAAAACUGUAAAGUUUGCGAAAAUGGGGGUUCCAACCAUGAAAACUUCAUUUUUGAAGGACUUAAGCUGUUUAUCAAGUAAAUCUGGGCUGAAAAUGUCUUUUCAAUAAGUUUUGAUACUAAAGUGUCAAGAAAAAUGGUUUAAGGACUAAAAUGGAAAUUCUUUUAUAUAAAGGAUUAAAAGUGUAAAUUUUAUCCAAGAAGGGUCAUAAAAAGGUAAACUCUUACUUUUAAACAAAUAAAUCCCUUAAGAUAAAAUACGAGCACCACGACUACCGGCGAAACGUAAUAACAAAUACACUUUCAACACCAAUAUCGUUACCAAACGAAUUGAUUCGGUCUCGAAUCAAUAACGAAUCAAAAAUCAAUAAACAAUAGUACUACAAUAAACACAUGAAAUUUACGAGAAGUCAAUAUUCAAUCUUUGGGCUUGAAAGUUUCAAAUCGUGCUUGUUGGGCCUAGCUAGCCCAAUAAAAUGAUCUUUAGGCCCGAAGGGAACGCGCUUACAUGUUAUUGGGCCUUCUAUGACCUAAUUCCAUGUAAAAGGACUUUCAAUAGCUUUAUUGUGUUUUUGGGCCCUAAGGGUCCAUUGGUACUGCUAGCAAAGUCGAGAAGUCAAAUGCAAAUCGGCCAAGUGCCUUUCGCAUUCCCGAUAGCCUUGAACGACUUAUGGAAAUAAUGGGGGCUUCGUACCCUCCUUUCUCCUCGGUUGUGGGGCUAUGAGAAGUUAAGGUGGUUGGAUUAAGUGAGUAGUACGGACGACGCCUAAGGAAUCGUUUGUAUUUGGUAGUUAUAAACUAGUCAUUUUCAUUAAUGCGUGAUUAUAACGACUCACAACCCAUAAUUAAUCCAAUGUCACCUAGAAUUAUCAAAAAUAAUCGUCGUAUCGGUAUAACAAUAAAUAAGACACGGAAUUUUAUGUAUGAGGAAAACAUCGGGUUUUCCCGGGAAGUUCAACACUUUUACCUAUGUGAUGUAUACAAGGUUUAACAAUUAUACACGUUUACAAAAAUCGACAAGUAUACUACGGAUCUCCACACUUUUUCUUAUAUACAAUACUCGUUUCAGAAAAUAUCAGAUUUUCUGGGUUUUCAAACUUCACAAAAAUCAUUAUUUUUCAAACAUGACUUAUGAACUCACCAACAUUUCAUAUGUUGACGUUUUUCCAAAAUACUUGUAUUCUCAGGUAACAAGUAAAUCGAAGAAUAUGUAUCCAGUGAUGUCAUGGUGUUUUGUUUAAAUUAGUAUCGAACGGUUUAAGUUAUGGAAAUGUAAUGUUUAAAACAAUGUACUGAAUGUAAACAAUAUCAGUUGUAAUAUUUCAAUGCAUGGUGAUGAAUGAUCUUAUGAUUCAUGUAUAAUCAUUGUGAUGGUAUUCGAUUGAGUCACAAUAGCCCUCAGACGUUUUCGCCGUCUGGUUCGGGGGUGUGACAUUCUUGGAACUGGGACCCCAUCAGUUCUAAACUUCAAAAACUGUACUCUAAAACUAAUGUUCAUCCAUUCGUCGACCCUACCCCUAGUCCCUAACUAGGAACACCACCAAAACAUGCGGAAAGAAUACUCGAAACAUACUGAUCGCGAGGUUUGCCCAAUCCCAAAUCCAGAAAUUAUGACUAAAACUUAAAUACACAUUUGACAUCCUGACAAGUCAGCACCGACUUACUGCUGCCACGAGCGUAAUGAUGGUUCAUCCAAGAAUUUUACGUUGCAUCCAAGUCCCCUAUCAGCUCAGGUGUACAUCCACCUGACAAAUCACUCGAGAAAUUUACAAUGAAUUUAAUGACUCGCGAUUCAAUAAAUGACCCAAUAUUGGUAACCAAACUCCUAACAACCUUUAGCUCCCCACAUGAUCUAAACUGGUUGGUCACUGAGACUCCCGACUCCCAAAAACAAUGCACUAACAUCCAACCAUGACAAAAUAGACUAACGAUCUAAGAUCUAAGAGUCUCAAUCAAAUGACUAUUGGGUCCCACCGAUAAUGAAUCAUAUAGCUACUGGCUCACAAUACAUUGUGAAACCUGCUAACCACCAAAUGAUAAGCUCACAAUAUUAUGUCGAUCUUGCCGUCAUCUUAUUAAUGGCCUGAAGACACACCGCCAGCACCAUACGGGCCUAAAGAUACCCAACAAUCAAUCCACCGACUUGCAAAAACCCAAUCAACAUCCCUCUCAAGGCUAACCGAAUACAACACGGGUCAUACCCUUCAAUCACGUAUAAAUCUAUUCUCAUUACAAGUUGCUAACAAUGCAAAAUCAGACGAAAACAUGACUGCACACAACCAAAUAAUGAGAUAGGCGGUUGCACUCUUGUUCUAAUUCAAGGGCUACAAACCUUUUAAGAACCAUGCCAAUAACUCGAACCAAGUGUUCUCAUGCUAUCUUGCUCGUCCUACAUAUAACCCCAAGGGAAACACAUAAGUAACCCUAGAUCUAUGCUCUACUUAUUCCUCAAAAGCUUACAUAUAGGGUGUGGUACCCGUAGAUCUAACCGAAAUGACGAACCCCAACCACUAAUAGAAACAUCCUCAUGAAUAGCCGAAACUAAGAUCCCACACCUUGAUUGAAAAUGAAUAGGUCCUACGAAUACACAACUACCUCGAUAAAACUUCCAAAGCCAAUAGAAAUGCGGUCAAAACCUUGUUCAGUUCAAUCCAGAUACAAACCUGGCCGAUGCGACAUGCCAAAAUUGGAUUCUACGUAGAUCCAAAGCCAUACCUGAAAACUAAUCAAUGCUGCCCUAACAUCCAAACUUCCAAUAACACAAGACAUCUGCCAAAAUCCAGCAUGAUAUGAAUAAUAAUUUCACAACCAACCAUUGAGGGUACCAAUAUACAGAAACCAAAAUGUGCAAUGUACAAAUCUUGACAAUAGGCGGACACAUCCAUUAAACUCCAACUAAUACAACUCUAAACUUCUGAAGAACCUCUACUAUUGAUGAUGAACGAAAAGACCAACAAUUGAGAAUGCAUUGACAACUAAUCCAUUAAUCUAAUACACUACUGGAAAAAGCCCAUUAGGGACUAAAAAUACCAAAUCUAAAACUGAUUGACCGAUCAGCAACUGCCAUCCUAGACUAUAGAUAUCAAUCUAUACAACAAGCUGAAAAAUCCAUCACAAUUGAAAUUCAACCAGAGCGACCCAAACGCCUCUUUACCUAUUCCUCGAUGUUUCUAAAAGGAACCAUUGGCUACAAUGAACUCAUUGUCCAACAGCUUCUUGCCGCGAAGACAAAUCUUGCAUUCAUGAACACAUACAUCUAGUGGCAACUUGCUCUGCACCUCCGUAUUGACUAAAUCCUAAACCAAAUUUUUGCAUACCUGAACUUCAAAUCCAUAUGAGCCAUUCUUCUAAAACCAUAACAUGAAUAGAUAGAUGAUUUUCCGAGCAUAAUAUCCAGCUCUCCCCUACUUAGGGUUCUAAUUACCACUAACUGACAUUGGAAACAGACCAAACUCAAACCGGCUCACCUAGUUACAUAUUAUUCCCUGAACCUUGGAAUGUAUAACACCACGCAAGAUGAUCUUCUAGAUAAAGACCAAACAAACUCACAGAGAGUUUGAAUCUCAUAUAGAUACCUUCGGAACUCCCCAAUCCUGAUUGUUUCUAACAUCAGGAAUCCCAUGCAGAUGCACUAGCAAUAAUUUUGACAGUUCAUUCAUAAAACCAACUUCCUAUCUAGAAAUAAAUGAACUACUACACUCUUCGCCUAAAAUCCCCAACCGUCAAUGCAUCGCUAGAAUCAUUCAUAAAUACAAAAGGUAUCAUUCUCAUAGUCGGGAUACAUCAUAGACAACAUCAUUUUUCGCUCCUGAUUCACUUCCCUGAUCACCUGGAACCAUCAACUAGCACCUGACCUACCUAUAUCCAAAGAAAGUAUAUCAUGAUAUCAUCUCAGGGUAACCAUACCACAAGAAUCCUCUUGUGCAUUCCCACACUUCCGCCAAAAACUAUAGCCAUAUAGCCCCACGUUGGGUCUACAUCCCAACUCUGAAAAUGACAUGUCUGCUCUCUCUCUCUCUCUCUCUCUCUCUCUCCCUCUCUCUCUCUCUCUAUCUAUCUCUAUCUCUCUCUUUCCUUUGAAUACAGAAAGCUAAUAGAUCAUAGCCUAUGCUAAAGGUAGUGACAUUCCGAUCCAUCCACCAAUCAUUCAGCCCCCGGCUACAAUCCUCGAGCCGAUCAUAAUAAUACCUUCUUUCUUGAUUCCUGCGACUCAACUUGAACUACCUCAAGCAAGGCUUUCGAGACCUCAAAUUCAAGUAACUCACCUAGGUCUGCACCAUUCAAACCUAAACUGACAUGGAAACUAAAGCCCAAACAAUCACCAAACUCAUCUUCCACCUGAACAAUCAAAACCAAAAGAUCGACAGUUACAGAAACAUUAUCACGAAUCAUGGUAUGAACCAUGUUAUCUACCCUCAACUAGUUGCUUAGAAUCCUCAUGACAUCCCUCGAUUUGAUUAUGGACUUGUGCUUCCAGUAGUAUAGGACUAAUACUACCUUUCACACCUAUCCAUACUUUCCUCAAGAAGCAUCUCGAGUCCUCUAAAUCAUCUACUCAUAAUGAUACUCUUAAUACCCACUAAACAGAAUAGCAACCACACUAAAGCAGUUCUUAGGUUCUCCUAGGAUCCCCACAUCUCCCUGCCAUCAGCUUCUAAAAAACCCCUAUUAAUGCCAGCUAACUACUUCAUGAAUACAAUUACAUGCAACAAAACUUAAAUAAUCUUUUGACUAAAAGACCCAACCCUAUAACAGUUAGAUUCAAACGAGAGCUGUGUAAUAGGGCCGAAUCAUUCAUUCUAAAAUUAUUUAACCUUUUCAGCAUGUAACUUAACAUAUUCAUUUAAUAGUUAACUCACAUCAAUAUGAGUCCCACAAAGCACAAAGUAAGCAACAUUGAGGGGUAAAGCUGUCUCGCACUAAGACAACAUAAAAUCAGACAGAUCAUUACACAUAAAUUCUGAACCACUAGGCCCAAGCAUCAAGGGUACACAUACAUCUUGUAUCUAGUCUCUCAAGAGUGGCUAAUCAUUCCUUAGGUCGGCCUGCUAUAAUUGUACUCACUCAUGAAACUUCCACCAAUCCUACAACCGUUCGUGCAUGCUAAUCAUACAAAAUGUUGGAUUCCAUAUACAGUCGAAUACUUGAUUCUACCCUAAGCCAACAACCAAACAAGGAAUAGGAAAUAAGGCUAAACCAAACAUUCUCAGGCUAUAUAAUCUUAGUUAUGUACAAAUAUGAUGUACACACUAAGAAACUAUAGUAAUGAUGUCAAUUUCAUCUAACAUACAAGAAGUUCUCCUAUGCUAUAAGGCAUCAUACAUCAGGAAAUUCUAUCAUUCAAUUCCUGAAGAUCCCUAGCCUACCACUAUGAUGCAAUUCUAUCAUAAACAUCAUAACAAAUAACAGUAAGGGUAUCUUGGGGUAUACUUUCUUGCUUCGGUUGAUCAUACACAUCUCAUCCUUCUCUAGUUACUUUAGAAAACAGUUAGGAAAUAUAUUUUGAAAACCUUAUAGGUCCAUAGUUUGAGUCUGCAUUCACACGAGUGCUUAUCCAGUUCACUCAAACGAGGGCUCUGAUACCACCUUGUAACAUCCCAAAAAUCAAGGUAAAUUUUUCAUUUUAAAACCAUUUAAUAGCCCAUAACUCUUACAAAAACAUAGUUUCCAAAAGUCAUAAACAUGAAUCAGAGCAUCCCAAAAUCAUAACCUCGUAAAAACCAGGAUGAUGUGCAUGAUCAAGCAUUCUCCUUGUCCCGAUCAUUUGAAGUACAUGAAACAUAACACUUAAACUGUACGUCAAAGAUUAGUGAGUUCCCCAAAAUACCACCGCACGACAUAACAUAUACAAUCAUGCAUGUUGGGUCCACUCAGUCAUCGAUCUGGAAUACCCUUGGGUCCAGCCAUUAAGUUGGAUUACCCCUGAGCCUACAUCAUGUGUCUAGCUUGCCUUUCUGGCCUAGAACUCACGUCUAUAUUGCUACUAAGACCACAUUAUAAGUCUAGAUUGCCUAUCCGGCCCACAUCUUAUGUCUGGCUUAUUCUUAUGUUUAUUGGCUUCUGUACAAAGCAACAUUAAAUCAACUCAACCACACUAUGUUGACAUAUGCAACAGAUAAACACUUCACCAACAAAACAGAUAAUUAUGCAGAUAUAAAAGAUCACUACAGCAUAAGAACAUCCUAGACAGUAGGAUACAUAACCGAAUAGAUCGGAAUUUAUGCCUUCGACCCAUAAGUACAGUGAGGAAACUCAUCUCAUAGUCUGAAAUGUAGUUGAACAAAUCACAACACCAACUACUGACUCUAUAGGUCACCUAUACAACAAACAGUGACCUAAUCUCAUAUUACUUCUCAAAAUACCGAAAAUACCCCUAGGUCAAAGGUCAAAGUCAGAAAGAAAAAAGGUCAAGUAAAUUAAAACUAAUUAAGUAUGCCCUACAUACUGAGCCACUACAUUGGGCAUAUGUCACACCCCAAAACCAGAAUGGCGGAAACGUUCUGGGGCGGAGGACGUCAUGUAUAGUAUCACAACAAUGCAUAAUAGUAAACAAGCACCAACAUCAUCCAUUGCAUUAAUAAUAUAAUUUUAAUACAAGUGUGUUCUAUGUAUAGCUUAUAAGACACCAAAAAUGAAUAAGCAAAAUAAAGACGAGUCUUGAAAGCUUCGUCUUCUCAAACCCUGGUCAUCGGUACCUAUCUACUGGUGACCUGAGAAUACAAGUUAUUUUGAAAGAGUAGAUCAACAUUAAAGUUGGUGAGUUCAUAAGUAUUUUAGUGUCAUUGUUUGUAUGAAAGUGUUUGAAAAUGUUUGAUGUAAAUGUUUGUAGUAAAUGUUUGUAUCUCCUAGAAAAUCCUAUAUUUUCUAAAAAAAAGGUACCUUCUACCAAGGCCCGAAUGUUCUGUGUGCUGUUUGGUUUGUAAAAGUGUGUAUAUUUCCCAAGUAUGACUAUCAUUACCAAAAUAUAGCUUACAUUACCAUUUAUGUGAGAAGAUCACAAUGUGAAUGGGAAAAUNAAAUAACGAUGUACUGUGGUAUUGUAUAUAAGUAACUACUAAUGUACUAACUACCUUAAACCAGUUUGAUAAUUAAGGUAAAAUGUGAUGAGGUUGUAACCAUACUUGAUUGACUAUUGAAACAUGACGCUCGAAGGCGUCGAAAUGGUAUGACAUUCGUCACCUGUAGAUCUGCAGGUCCCACUGUACCUAGCAGCAAGGUGUAGGACAAUCAAUCUCAUAUAGAUCUAUACACAAAUUCAUUCUCUCCCUCCAGGAGACUCUGGUUGCAAAACGUGACACAGUAGUAGAUUGCCAUGCCAUUAAGUAGUGGCUCACAUUAAUGUUAUAGUAUUCUAGUGUUUGUAUAGUAUGUUCUAGUGUAUUGUAUGAUCUCUUUGUUCUAGUGCAUAGUAUGUUCUCUUUGUAUAGUGUAGUGUAUGUUCUCUUAGUUUCUCAUCAUAGUAUGUUCUUUCUGUUUCUCAUAAUAGUAAGUUUGUAUUGACUCAUGAAUACACUGACUCUUGUAUGGUUCAUUGUACUAGAAGUAGUGACUAUUAAAUCCCAAAACUAUACCUAUUAUAGUUUACUAGCAAUGUUGUUUGAAUGACUGAGUAUGUUUGUACACCUUUGCUACCCAAAGGUGCUGAACUGAUGUAAGAACUUUUAUAUCCAUACAUAUAUACAUAAUAUAUAACUAAGAUUCAAAUGACACUCGGACAAUAACUGGAUACCCUAAGUCCACAACCAAACAAGGAACAAGAAAUAAAGUGAGUUAUUAGUCCUAAGUCCUUUCAAUCUUACUUAUAUAACUAUAUCUAUAUAGACAUGAUUUUGACAAUAAAAAUAAGGUUAAAAGAGUUUAAUAAAGAGUUUAACAUAAAAAGAGUUCUAACCAUUUGAAUGGUAACAGAUGACUUGAUGUAAGUUUAUAAAAUGUUUUGAAGAGUUGUUUGAUAAAACAGUUUGAAGUAUAAGAAAAUCCACUUGUUUGAUAGUUACUAAUCACAUGUGAUUGAUAUAACAACUAUUAUGUUAUCAACUGGUAAUCNCCCCCCCCCCCCCCCAAUAAAAGUAUUUAAAAUCAUUUAAAAUGUAGAUUAAGGGGUGUGAACUCACCUGUAGUGAGUGAUGCGGAUGUAAGAGCGAUUGUAGGAUGCUAAGUGCUAAGUGAAAUCUAGGGCACAAGCGGAUCCUAAUAAGCAUAUAAUGACACAUAUAUCUAUAUAAUUAGUGUAUAUAAAAACUAAUCAUGAUAGGGAACCACCUUAGGGUCUAGGAAACACUUGGAUUGAAGUGUUACAAUCAAAUGUGAUUGCACAUAAAUGGGUUUACGGCCACACAUGGUGUUCACGGCCAUGAUGUUUACGACUCAAUGUGUUUACGGCCAUGGGGUUUAUGGCCCUAUGAGAUUACGGUCGUACACUCAUGAAGACAUAUGCCAAAGAGUGUUUUAUGGUCCUAUUCAGCAUCGAGGAAGUGUGUCUUGACCCAUUCCUAGCCUUAAGAAUAGUUUUUGGCCAAACUAGGAACCUUAACAAGGGUUUACGGCCAAGGGACAUGCUCAUGGCCGUAAACACUCAUUGUUCUAGGAAAAAUGGUUGUUUUCAAGGGUGUAUGCUAAGAGCUUUUAUAGUAUAACUAGUAUAUGGAAGAUUACUUACGUUUUGAAGCAUGAAGGGGGNNGGGGGGGGGGGUGUUUAAGCUCCAAGAAGUAGUGUCUGUUCUUGGUGUUCUUGAAGAUCUAACCCAAAAGAUGAAUUUCAUAGCUGAAAUCAAAGGGUGAUACUAGAUUAAGAGGAAUAACAUCUAUAGCAUGGAAAGAAUGCUUACUCAUUUGAAGAUCAUGGUGAAAAUCUUGAUGAUAGUUGAGAGAGAACCCAAAAUAUAGGCUUGGAAGUGUAAGAAAUGACUAUAAAUGAAGGUAAAUGUAACACCCGGAUGUCAAGGGAUAAUAUUUUGAGUACUCAUUUCGAGACAUGAGGAGUGACUCACAAGUUAGUGCCUUAACUCGUCGAGUAGGGUCGCAUUUUGGUGACAUGUUUAAUGAAUGGACUCGAUGAGUCGGGUAUCUGACUCGCCAAGUCAGUGAUGCUGAGGAAAACCCUAAUUGUUCGGGUUUGUGACAUAUUUAAAGGCCCUUAUAGCCUUCAAUUGCAUCCACACUUCCCUUGAGAGACCCUAAUUGAUCCAGAGAGCAUAAAGAGAAAGAGGGAGCUAAUUUUCAUCAUUUUGGGUGCAUUUUUGCAAGGAAGAAGGAGAGUGUUCAAGCUAAAUUGUUGGAAGGGCUCAGAUCUACUACUAUUCUGUUCAAAGCUAUUGGUUAAGGUAUAAAUCUCUACCUGUUUUCGUAUAGUUAGUAGAUCUCAUGGAUUUAGGGUUUCUUUACCCUCUUUUAAGUUGAGUUAUGAUGAAAGUGAAGUCCCCUUGAGGCAUAGACAUCAAAUCUGGACCUUGAGAGGUUCAGAGAGUCCCAUGAUCCCAACUUUAUGCUGUCAUAUAAGAGUAUUGAGCCUAAGACACCAUUAUAAGGGUUAUUUUAUCAAAUAGAGCUCAAUAUGCGGUGCAUGGACAUAAAGAUUGAACCUUUACGUGACUUUUGGGUGCUAGAAGACCAGAUCUAUAACUUAGAGAAACAGAUCUGACCUCAAAAGGUCAAAUGAGUAUUGCCAUGGAGGAAACUCGCCGAGUCCAUGAGAGGACUCGAUGAGUCGGAUCGGGUUGCCCCAUGAUUCGUGACCAGUGGUAACCCGUCGUGUGAAAGGUUAACCCGACGAGUUGAGUGAGGCCUUAGGAGGAUUCAAAGGACACACAUGGACUCGCUGAUUCACCCGAGUGCACUCGAUGAGUCUGGUCAAAGUUGGACCGUUGACUGGAGUUCACUUCUGUUGACCUUAGGGUUUUGGGUCAAACUGAUUCAACAGAGGCCAUGGAGGGGUAGAAUGGUCUUCUACCCAUUCUUUAGAGAUGAGAACAUAAAGAGAGUAUUGAUUAGAGAUAUUAUCAUUUUGAUAGGAGGAGGCUAGAUCGGGGAUAUCGAGAAUGAGAGUAUACUAGACAUCAUACGAGGUGAGACUUCUCACUAUAUAUUACCUAGAGUGGUAUCUGUGUGCAGACCGAAGGGUCUUAUGUGUAUGUGUAUGUGUAUGUUUGAGAUUUAUGUGCAUUGCAUUAUAUGUAUGCUAUGUGUUAUAUAGACUAGACCAGAGGGUCCAAUGACUUAUGAGGCCAGAGGGUCCUCGAUCAAACCGGACCGGAGGGUCCAACGAUUUAGACCGGACCGAAGGGUCCAACGAGCUAGACCGGACCGGAAGAUCGAACGAGCUAUGGGACUGGAGGGUCCCACUGAGACACGUUGACCGCAGGGUCAUACCGAGUUAUAGCCUCGAGUGGCUUAUGUGUUGUAUAUGGUAUUUUGGGGAACUCACUAAGCAUUUAUGGAUACCGUGUUAUGUGAUAUGUGUUUUAGGUACCAACGAGGAUCGCGGGAAGGUGCCGGCAUGAUCUGUACACACUGAUAGAGUAUUAUGUAUUAUGUACUUGAGAUUCUGGGAUAUGUUUUAUUGAGAUAACAUUUCAUACAUUUGAGUUUUUAGACUACUUAUGAGAUAUGUUAUGUUUAAAAAUGAAAAAUUGUUGUGAAAAUUCAUUUCAUUACAAGUUGGUAUCAGAGCCUUGGUUUGAGGGAUUCGGAUGCACCUUCGGGCGUAUCUAAACUCAAACUGAGGUUUUGAGAAAAAAUUUCAUAAAAGAAACAAUUUUUCUAAAAGAGUAAAAGAUUUUUGAGAAAAGCAAAACGGAGCAGUGUGUACGAUCAGCCAGCGCCCGAACGGUGAUUUCCCAAAAUGCCCUUAACUUUGUGUUAUGUGAUGUUAUGAGAUAUUUUAUGAGAUAUUAUGCAUGCUAUAGAUAGGAUAGGUAUUUCAUAUUUUAGGAUUAGAGUGGCCUGAUUUCUGAUGCCUUAGCCUAGGAGUUGCUGUUAUUUGUGAUGUGCUUUCGAGUAUGUGCUGAGUAAGAGUAUCCAGCAGGAAUCCUAUGUAGAGAGGGAUUUCAGUAAAGGAGUAAUCUAGGAGAGAUACCUAGAUGAGCAUUGGAGGAGCCUACUGAGAGUAGUUAGAUGCCCGCAUGGGGUAGAGUUGCUUGAGUUCAGUGACACCCGCUGAGUGUGAAUAGAGCCAAUAGAGCUGUAUCCUAGAGUGCUUUUACAUGCUGGUGGAGAUUAUUCGAUGCCCGGAUGCUGCUUGCUUCGUGCUUCGUAGAACUCUCGACGAUGGGAGUCAGCUAAUAAGUGAAUAUGACGAUAUUCAGGAGGUAGAUGGUUCGCAUCAUUAGGAGUUCUUCAGCAGCUGAUGGCAGAGAAGAGUGAGAACCUAUGGAGAGUCUAGGGUGUGACAAUGGUCAGAUGAGUACGUUGAUAGAGUAGAGAAUUUCGCUGGAGAUCGAACUCGCGUGACGGAAUUGGUGAUCGAAAAGGUUGAACAGCUACCUAGAAACUUGGGAUGGUCUGUGUAGAAAGUAUGGGUAGAUGUGGCAAGUAGUACGGGCCCAUACUACCGAAAGCAGAGGACCCAUACUCGAUACAGGGGGUAUUCCGGAGGAUCUAAGUAGUAGAUUGAGAGGUGAUGGCAUGGUUCGAGUACCAUGAUUUGUAGCAGACUGAGAGGUGAUGUCAUGGUUCGAGUACCAUGAUUUGUAGCAGAUUGAGAGGUGAUAUCAUGGUUCGAGUACCAUGAUUUGUAGCAGAUUGAGAGGUGAUUCCAUGGUUCGAGCACCAUGAUCUGAGACAGAUUGGGAAGAGGUAACAUGGGUUGAGUAUCAUGAUUGGUAACAGAUAGUGCUUAUGCCUUUUUCCAGUUAUCCCGUUGGGAUUGUUUGACUGAGGUCGGAUGUGAUAGAGUCUGGGGGCCAGAGGGCCGUGUUGCACGAGUUUCAAUGAAGCAUACCUUGAGAGGGAAAUCGGUUUAGUUUUGAGGAAUUUUUAGUGAGAUGCCAGUAGAAGUCACAAGACCCAGGGAUGAGUAAGGAUGGUGGUUAUGGAGGAUUACAGUCUGAGUUGAGUGAUUGACCGAUAGUGGAGAUGUCACCUUCUGUGACCUGAGCGGUGCUAUUUCUGUUCCUGUGGGAACCAGGAGAGGUAUUGAGAUUUUCGGUUACCGAGGAUGGGAGUGAGCCCUACGGGGUAGCUUUUGCUUGCGAUCUUUCAUCGGAGUAUCUGGGCAGUAUGUGUGCUGCGAGGUAAGGAUAUAACAUGAGCAGGUUGUCAGUGGGGACUGAGAUGGUCAAGGACCAAGAUACACCCUAUUUGAGCAUACUAGGGCAUGUGUUAGUUGCAACAACGAACAAUCAAGAGGAGUAUAUCGAAGUAGUGGCUCUUAUUAUCUAUGAUAGGUAUCGAGUGUGGAAAUGAGGUCUCUGCUCUUAUGAUAAUUCACGUGAUGGGACGUUAGUUGAGGAGUCGAGGAUGAGGAGUAUGUUAGUUCAUUAUUUUCAGACUGAGAUUCAGGGUUACUAUUGGACAAUUGACAUGUCCGGUAGUGGGAUGGUACGAGAUUCUGAAUGACUAGAGGCAAGCAUGAUGAGAAGUUUCUUAGGAUUUCAUUUGAGAUUCGGGGUAUUUGGAGUUGCUUGAUCUCCAUCGGGGAGAUCAUCGAUCAUUACGUAUCACCUUCCAAGAAUAGGUGUGAUGUUGCUAGUAAAAAACAAUAUGUGGGAUAGAUUGUUUGUGAACUAAUUGGUGACAGUUCGAACCUUGAGUGGGGGAGAACCGGGUACUUUUGAGGAGAUCAUAGAUUUGUUCAAGAGAAUUUAGAGAACUGGAUACAGAGACCUGGGGUACGGAUUCCUAAGACCAGGGUUAUUGGUGGUCAAGGCGAGGUACAAAGCGAGAUAGUGCAUGUGGUACGUGUUUGAGAAAGGAUGAGUGUCUCCACGGCAAGUGGCCGUUGGUAGGAGACCUUGAGGUGGUUUGGAAUCCUUCAAGGUUAUAAUGGUGAAUUCGAGGUGGUUGGGUUGUAAGGUUAGUUCGGCGGUUGAGAAUUUCUGGUUCAAGGUAUGGGCUAUUAUAUGUAGUGUGGGAAGGGAAGAAGUUGAUUGGGCAACUAACUUCAGGGUCGUUAUGAGUAUUCUUGCAUGAGUUUUGAGCAAUAGAUGAGGAAGUUUCAGAGUGUCGUCUAUGUGUUCUAAGUCGCUGACGACUCCUCCGUAUUUCAAUUGAGAGUUGGAAUAUUUCGGAGUUACAAGUGGUGCGAGAGGAAGAUCAGUUGCGAGAUUUUGAAAGGAUGCUUUGCGGUAUCAGGGUAUGAUACCGUGUAUAGGAGAUCGGUGGAUGAGGAAAGACUUCGUGAGGUUCGGUGAUGGUGUACCGAGGUAUCCGAGCAUGAUGCCCUUAUUAUCCGGUUAUUUUGAGGCUUGAAUUACGAGAUAGUAAGUGGAGUAUCAAGUAUCUACGAUUCCAAUGUGAGCCUUUCGGCAAGUGACCACAAGUGAGAUUAAUUAAGAAUGUGGAUUGUAGCAAGAAAAUGUGUGGUGAUACUACGGGGAGCUGUAGUACUCACCAGUAAGUGAGAGAAGGUGUGGUGAUACUAUGUGGAGCCAUAGUACUCAACAUUCAGUGAGAGAGGGUGUGGUGAUACCACGGGGAGCCGUAGUACUCACCAGUCAGUGAGAAAGGGUGUGGUGAUACUACGGGGAGUCGUAGUACUCACUAGUCAGUAAGGAAGUGUUGUGAUACUGCGAGGUGCCGUAGUACUCACCAGUCGGAGAAGGUGUUAUGAUACUGCAGGGAGCCGUAGUACUCACUAGUCAGUGAAAAAGGUGUUGUGAUACUGCGGGGAGUCGUAGUACUCACUAGUCAGUGAGAAGGUGUUGGGAUACUGCGGGGAGCCAUAGUACUCACUAGUCAGAGAGGGUGUUGUGAUACUGCGGGGAGCCGUAGUACUCACUAGUCGGUGAGAGGGUGUCGUGGUGCUGCAAGGAACCACGUUAUUCGUUAGUCAGAGCAUGACUCAGGAGAGUUCUUAGGCUUGAGUAGCCUCAUUGCAUUGAGUAUCCCAGAGCCUGGUGGCCAUAUCAGGUAAGAGAUGGAGGUCCCCAUAAUGGUCGGGAAUCAUUAUAUCUUGAGUUAGGCUGUGGAGACCGUAAUGGGAAGAGAUCGGAGAAGUGAUGUACGAGUGGGUUGCGAGUCAUGAGUCAUGAGUUGGGUGCUUUAUUGGGACGGGUGGUUCCAAUUUUGCGUCGGGCCAGACUCUCGAUUUGAGUUUGAUUCUAGUGGUUUAUCGAGUAAAUGGAUUGAGAUUCCGGAUUUAGAGAUGGAUUUCUUUUUGGAAGGGGUAUUGUUUUCAUCUGGUGUUUUGGAACUAGGUGGGUCAGUUUGUUGGUGUGGGAAAGACCGCGAGACGCAUGAGACUAAUGGGUAGUUUUCGACAGAGGUCGAGGGUGAGAUGAUUUUAGUUGGAUUAUAGUAAUCACUUGGGGUAAAGCGAGCUUCAUGUCUGGUGUGUGACAAUGGGUCGGGAUAGAUGUUAUGAGAAGGAAGUAUGUGAGACGCUUUAGGGCAUAUGAUUUUAGAUGUCAGAGGACACUUCUGAAGGAGCUUGAUUAUUUUCUUGUGUUUGAGGACAGGGCGUUGAGGGUUCAAUGUUUGGACAGAUUCUGACAGCAGUGCAGUGGAUGGGUCUUUGGUAGCAUGUGACUCUUUUGUCUAUGGAAGUGUGUUUGGGAUCAUUUGGUAUGUCUGGAAUGGGUGACCGGUAGCUGAUUGUUGGGCUUAUCUAUGAGAAUCAGAGGGCAGUAAGUUAUCAGGGUCUGUUAUUCGAGGAGCGACUAAUGUGAUGAUAUCUUGAGUGGACGGUCUGGCAGCGGACCAGACCACUAGAGUUCCAGAUUUGGAAAUUCAUAAGGGGUAUCUUAGCAGCAGGGGUCAGUUUUGUUCCGAAUUUAGGAGUUCUUGUUUGGGUUCAGGUAUCCAUGGAGUAAGAUAUCAUUUUGGUCUGAGAUCCUUUCAGUGGUGCUUUUAGGGUGUUUGGUUUCUAUCUAUGUGGUUAAGGAGCGAUUUCAAGGGCGAAAUCUAAUUCAAGUGGGGGAGAAUUGUAACACCCAUAUUUCCAUGGAUAAUAUUUUGAGUACUGAUUUCGAGAUAUGAGGAGUGACUCGACGAGUUGGUGCCUUAACUCGUCGAAUAGGGUCGCAUUUUGGUGACAUGUUUAAUGAAUGGACUCGACGAGUCGGGUAUCUGACUCGCCGAGUCAGCGCUGUUGAGGAAAACCCAAAUUGUCUAGGUUUGUGACCUAUUUAAAGGUCCUUAUGGCCUUCAACUGCAGCCACCUUCCCUUGAGAGACCCUAAUUGAUCCAGAGAGCAUAGAGAGAAAGAGGGAGCUAAUUUUCAUCAUUUUGGGUGCAUUCUUGCAAGGAAGAAGGAGAGUGUUCAAGCUAAAUUGUUGGAGGGGCUCAGAUAUACUACUAUUCAAUUCAAAGUUGUUGGUUAAGGUAUAUAUCUCUACCUGUUUUCAUAUAGUUAGUAGAUCUCAUGAAUUUAGGGUUUCUUUACCCUCUUUUAAGUUGAGUUAUGAUGAAAGUGAAGUCCCCUUCAGGCAUAGACAUCAAAUCUGGACCUUGAGUGAUCCAGAGAGUCCCAUAAUCUCAGCUUUAUGUAGUCACAUAAGAGUAUUGAGCCUAAGACACCAUUAUAAGGGUUAUUUUAUCAAAUAGAGCUCAAUAUGCGGUGCAUGGACAUAAAGAUUGAACCUUUACGUGACUUUUGGGUGCUAGAAGAUCAGAUCUAUAACUUAGAGAAACAGAUCUGACCUCAAAAGGUCAAAUGAGUAUUGCCAUGGAGGAAACUCGCCGAGUCCAUGAGAGGACUCGAUGAGUCGGAUCGGGUUUCCCCAUGAUUCGUGACCAGUGGUAACCCGUCGUGUGAAAGGUUAACCCGACGAGUUGGGUGAGGCCUUAGGAGGAUUCAAAGGACACACAUGGACUCGCUGAUUCACCCGAGUGCACUCGAUGAGUCUGUCAAAGUUGNAAAGUUGGACCGUUGACUGGAGUUCACUUCUGUUGACCUUAGGGUUUUGGGUCAAACUGAUUCAACAGAGGCCAUGGAGGGGUAGAAUGGUCUUCUACCCAUUCUUUAGAGAUGAGAACAUAAAGAGAGUAUUGAUUAGAGAUAUUAUCAUUUUGAUAGGAGGAGGCUAGAUCGGGGAUAUCGAGAACGAGAGUAUACUAGACAUCAUACGAGGUGAUUCCUCUCAUUAUACAUUACCUAGAGUGGUAUCUAUGUGCAGACCGUAGGGUCUUAAGUGUAUGUGUAUGUUUGAGAUUUAUGUGCAUUGUGUUAUAUGUAUGCUAUGUGUUAUAUAGACCGGACCAAAGGGUCCAACGACUCAUGAGGUUAGAGGGUCCUCGAUCAGACCGAACCGGAGGGUCCAACGAUUUAGACCGGACCAGAGGGUCCAACGAGCUAGACCGGACCGAAGGGUCCAACGAGCUACAUGAUUGGAGGAUCCCGCUGAGACACAUUGACCGGAGCGUCAUACCGAGUUAUAGCCUCGAGUGGCUUAUGUGUUGUAUGCGGCCUUUUGGGGAACUCACUAAGAAUUUAUGCUUACCGUGUUAUGUGAUAUGUGUUUCAGGUACUAGCGAGGAUCGCGGGAAGGCGUCGGCAUGAUCUGUACUCACUGAUAGAGUAUUAUGUAUUAUGUAUUUGAGAUUCUAGGAUAUGUUUUAUUGAGAUAACAUUUGAUACAUUUGAGUUUUGAGACUACUUAUGUGAUAUUUUAUGUUUAAAAAUGAAAAAUUGUUUUGAAAAUUCACGUCGUUACAGUAAAACCCAUAUAUGGACAUGAGUUUACGGCCAAGGAGGUGUUUACGGCCGUAAACUCUAGUUUACGCUUGUAAAGUCCUUAUGAAUGGAGUUUCCGGUAUGUAUGAUGCACACUGCACUCUAGAAUACACUUCCUAACAUUCCUUCUUGAAGGUUCUAUAGUUAUAACACUCAAACAGACCCUAAACAGUGCUAAAAGAUAACAGAAACGAGUAUGACUUUGAUUGAAUUGAAUGGUUGCACAAGAUAGAAAUUUUGGGUUGUCACAUCAUCCCCCCGCUAGAGAAAAUUUUGUCCCGAAAUUAGUGUUUAAGCAAUUACAAUUAAUUAAGCGAAAAGAUGAGGAUAUUUCAGUUUCAUUUGAUCCUCGUGCUCCCAAGUGAAUUCAUGUCCUCGCUUGGCAUUCUAAUGAACCUUCACUAUCGGGAUACAGAUUUGCUUCAUUUGCUUGACCUCUCGGUCCAUGAUCUCUACUGGUUCUUCCACGAAGUUGAGGCUCUCGUUGAUCUCGUCGAGUGGGAUUACAAGAGUCUCAUUAGAUAGACACUUUUUCAAGUUCGAGACGUGGAAAGUAGAAUGUAGGCUACUGAGUUCGUGAGGUAGUUUGAGUUUGUAAGCUACAGGGCCGAUUCUAGUGGUAAUCUUGAAAGGCCCUGCGUAUCUUGGAUUUAGCUUUCCACGCUUUCCGAAGCGUAUCAAGCCCUUCCAAGGUGAGACCUUCAAUAGAACACGGUUGCCAACCUGGAAUUCCAAAGGUUUCCUUCUCUUGUCUGCAUAGCUUUUCUGUCGGUCUCUAGAGGCUUUCAAUCGUUCACGGAUUUGAACGAUCUUCUCUGUCGUUUCCCGAAUGAUUUCCGGACCUGUGAGAGUGUUGUCAGGAACGCGUCCUUUAGCUAACUGGGUGUCACCCACCUCAGCCCAGCACAGAGGGGAUCUGCACUUUCGGCCAUAGAGGGAUUCAAAUGGAGCAGGAUUUAUGCUCGUGUGAUAACUAUUAUUGUAGGAGAACUCGACAAGGGGUAGAUGAAUAUCCCAUGUCUUUCCAAAGCCAAUCACACAGACUUGCAACAUAUCUUCCAAAGUUUGAAUAGUCCUAUCACUUUGCCCGUCGGUUUGCGGAUGGUAGGCUGUACUCAUGUUCAUCCUAGUUCAUAGGGAAGUUUGUAGCGACUGCCAGAACCUUGAAGUGAACCUACUAUCUCUAUCAGAGAUAAUGGAUAUGGGAACACCAUGCAGUCAUACGAUCUCCCUAAUGUAGGUUCUAGUGAGUUUCUCUAUCUUGUCCGUUUCUUUGAUAGGCAGGAAGUGUGCGGACUUGGUUAACCUGUCUACGAUCACCCAUAUGGUAUUGAGACCACCCGUUGUCUUGGGCAACUUGGUUAUGAAGUCCAUCGUGAUCCGCUCCCACUUCCAUUCUGGUAUCUCCGGUUGAUGAAGUAAACCUGAUGGUUUUUGGUAUUCGACCUUAACCUUGGUGCAAGUAAGGCAUUUACUCACGAAGAUAGCAAUCUUUGCUUUCAUGUUAGGCCACCAGUAUAGCUUUUUAAGAACCAGAUACAUCUUAUCUAAACCUAGGUGGACGGAAUAUCGAGUAUUGUGUGCUUCUGCCAUGACCAAGUCUUUGAAGCCACCGUGUUUUGGUGUCCAAAUCCGAUCCAUGAGAUAUAAGGCUCUGCCAUCCUUGACUUCCAAGUUCUUAUCCAUCCCCCUCAUGGAUUCACCCGCCACAUUUUCAGGUUUUAAGGCUUCGAGCCGAGCCUCCUUAAUUUAUGAGGAUAGAUGUGAAUGGAUAGACAUAGGUAAUGAUUUGACUCUACGAACAGAGUAUUCUUUCCGACUUAGGGCGUCAGCUACUACGUUGUCUUUACCGGGAUGAUAACGAAUUUCGCAUUCAUAGUCAUUGAGUAGCUCGACCCACCGUUGUUGUCUCAUAUUGAGCUCCUUCUAGUCGAAUAUAUGUUAAAGGCUUUUGUGGUCUGUAAAGAUAGUGUUUUUUGUACCAUACAGGUAGUGUCUCCAGAUCUUCAGAGAAAACACAACUGCUCCUAACUCAAGAUCAUGUGUGGUGUAGUUGACCUCGUGUGUCUUUAGCUGUCUUGAGGCAUAGGCGAUGACCUUACCUCGUUGCAUGAGAACACAACCGAGUCCUUGGUUGGAUGCAUCGCAAUAAACCACGAAGUCUUCUAUCCCUUAUAGGAGGGAUAGUAUUGGUACGGUGCAUAAGGCUCGUUUUAGCGUUUGGAACACCUUCUCUUGUUUCUCUUCCCAGUCAAAGGCCACGCCUUUCUGGGUCAAUUUCGUAAGCGGUUUCGCGAUCCUAGGGAAGUUAUGAAUGAAUCUACGAUAGUAGCUAGCGAGGCCUAGAAAUUGGCGAAUUUCUGUAGGCGUCUUCGGUGCUGAACAGUUCUCAAUGGCCUUUAUUUUGGAAGGGUCUACAUGAAUUCCCUCUUCACUAACAACGUGACCCAGGAAUUCGACUCUUCGAAUCCAAAAUUCGCAUUUAGUGAACUUCGCAUAGAGCUUCUUUGAUCGUAAUGUUUCCAAGAUCUAACAUAGAUGAUUACUAUGCUCCUCCUUACUACGAGAGUAGAUAAGUAUGUCAUCAAUGAACACAAUGACGAACUAAUCCAACUAAGGACGGCAUACCCUAUUCAUUAAGUCCAUGAAUACUGUGAUCGCAUUAGUCAAUCCGAAUGGCAUCACUACAAACUCAUAGUGUCCAUAACGAGUUCGGAAGGCUAUCUUCGAAACAUCCUCCUCAAGCACUCGUAACUGGUGAUACCCGGAUCUCAGAUCUAUCUUUGAAAAGUAAUUCGCCCCUUGUGGUUGGUUGAACAAAUCAUUUAUGCGAGGCAGAGGGUAACGAUUCUUAACGGUUACCUGGUUUAGUUCUCUCUAGUCGAUGCACAUACGAAACGAUCCGUCCUUCUUCACGAACAAGACCGGUGCUCCCCAGGGUGAGAAGCUUGGUCUAAUAAAGCCCUUGCUGAGCAGCUCGUUAAGUUGACCGGAUAGUUCCUGCAUCUCAGCUGGUGCUUGACGAUAGGGAGAUUUAGCUACGGGGGUAGCCCUUGGAACUAAGUCGAUUUGGAACUUGACUUGAUGUUGUGGAGGUAAUCCUGGUAGUUCCUCUGGAAAGAUGUUGGGAAAAUCACGUACCAAUGGGAUGUUCUUUAUGUCCUUCGUCUCUUGGCUCACAUCGACAACAUGAGCUGGGAAUGAGCAACAUUCCUUUCGCAAGUACUUUUGGGCUUGAAUACUCGAAAUGAUGCGAAGGUUCGUGUCGGGUUUGUCACCAUAGACAACUAGAGUUUCGCUAGACGGCAGAUUAAGGCGAACGACCUUUUCAUAACACAUGAUGUCAGCACGAUGAAGACUCAGCCAAUCCAUGUCGAUAAUGACAUGAAAACUUUUAACUGAGACCGGCAUGAGUUCGAUUGAAAAUGAAUGCCUAUCUAGAGUUAGAGUACAUCCUAUGCAAGUACUGCUAGUGCUCUCAGUCUUUCCGUUAGCCAUUUCUACAAUGAACGGUUCUUUAAGUGCACGUGAUUUUUGCUUAAGUAAGUGAGCAAAUUUUUGGUUCACGAAACUCCUCUCUGCUCCACUAUCAAACAAUAUGCAUGUAUAUGAGUUAUCGAGGAUAAAUGUACCAGUGACCACUGUGGGGUCGGCAAUCGCUUCCUCGUGGCCUAUAGCCAAAACUCUUCCCACUCUGCCAGCAUUCCGUGGCUUCGGGCAGUUCCUCUUGUAGUGACCCACCUCACCACAUCCAUAGCAAGCCUGACCCACACCAAUGUUUAGGACUUGGUUGAUUAGCCUUGCCGUAGCCUUGCAGAAACGGGUAGUGUGCCCUUUCCUGUUGCAGUUAGCGCACUGCAUUUCCCGGUAGGGUCCAUUGUGGUGGAAGAUGCACUUGUUGAACUUGGGCAAGCUUCCAGCAUACUGCUUCAUUAGCGUAGUAUCAGUAGGUGCUAUCGCAUCAUGAACGACCACGACCUGCUGCUUUUUGGCAGACCUUUGCGUCGCGUUCUUCUUCUUAUUAUCCCAGAACUUCUGCUUGUUGUCAGCGGCUUUGGAGAGUUCUAGGAUGGCCAGGGUUAUUUUUGUAGUUAGGGUGCAGACUCCAUGAUCAAUGAGCCAUUGUGCCAAUCGCUUGGCACUAUCAAAGGUAGUAGGGUUUGAAGCUAAUACAUUCCUCUGAAAUGGAGGCACCAGCUCCCAGAUAUACCUCUUUAUCUUCUUUCCUUCAGUAGGGACCAUUCCCGGACAUAGUGCCACCAGAUCGCUGAAUCUGGUAGUAUAGGCCACUAUGUCGGAGCCCUUCAUGGUCAGGCUCUAAAGUUCUUGUUCAAGUUUCUGAACUUCGCCCCCUGGGCAGUAUUCCUCGAUCAUGAGCUCCAUAAGAGCUUCCCAGCCCAUAGCAUUAGCCAUUAUUAGAGUUAGUGACUUGACAUGGCUAUUCCACCAUGUUAGGGCUCUGUCCGCAAAGGUGAAAGCAGCAAAUUUAACUUUGCUUCCUUUCGGAUAGGAACAAAUCUCGAAGAACGAUUCCGUUUUCUUGAAUCAUUGCAAGAGGGCAAUAACUCCGCCAGUCCCAUUGAAGGACAUGGGCUUGCAGUUGGUGAAGUCCUUAUAUGAGCACCCCUUAGAGAGCAUUGGAGCAUCACCUUGAGUGGAAUGCACAAACGUUCCACUCCCGCUAGUUCCACUAACAUUGAACUGAUCCAGGGCUGCCGUAAUAGCCGCAUUCACCGCAACUUGGAUUGCUAACGGGUUGUACUAUGGAGGAGGUGGAGGUUACAUAGGAGAUAUCUGAGGAUUGCGCCUUGUCACUCUCCAUGGAGGCAUCGUUCAACUAAAAUUUUGUUGGAUUAGGUGUCUAAGCCCAUAACUAUAAUUGGUAUGUACUUGAAUUGAUAGCAUCACAGUCCUUUUGAGUUGCCCUCAAACCUAGCAACCGGACAAGGAAAUUAUGAAAGGAGAGAUAUUAAUUUAUUAUAAGAUUAAUAAAUUAAUAUAAAUGAUUUAUUAACAUGUUAAAAGAUUAAUAUAUUGAUUAGGAAUCAUUAUGUUUAAUUAAUAGUUAGCCAGAAAUUAAUCAAAAUUAAUUUUGGAGUUAAAAGUAUUAAUUAUAAAGUACAGGGACUAGUUUGCAAUUAUCUAAUAGUUUAGUGGAAGGUUCCAGAUCCUCCUUGGAAGGGGGUGGACGAAAUCUAUAGGGGAAACCAUAAUAAUUUCGUCCACGGGGGCUUGGAUAAGGCCCUUGGGUUUACUUAGGCCCUAAGCAAGGAGCAUUAGGGUUUUUCCCUAAACCCUAAAUCUCUCAGCUAUAUAAGGAGCCUCCUGGUUCACAUUUUGGGCACUCCUUCUUUUGAAGAAACCCUAGGCCAAGAAUUGCAUACUCCUUCCCUCUCUCUCCUUCUAGUUUCCUUUUUGCUAGAUUUUUGGUGUGAUUCCCAUUAGAGGCAUUACAUUUGUGGUGCUAAGCUUCCAAGAAGAUCAAGAUCAAGAUCAAGAGGAUUGUCAAUUGUUUGCUAUAACAAUUGAAAGGUAUGUAAAUCCUAAACACUGGUUUGUUAUUUUCGAAAAUAGCCUCUCUCCUCUAGGGUUCUUGUUUUGCAAAUCAAAGUUAUAUGUUUAAUAGUUAAAACAUAGAUCGAAAGUAGGUUGCAUGUGAACUUAGGAAUUGUGUUUCUAGUUUAUUUGUUUUACCUAAAACCUAUCAGUGGUAUCAAAGACAUUAUUGUUUUAAAUUGAAUUGCUAUAAUAGUUGAAUUGGAAAUUAGGGUUUAUAGCUAUUAAACCCUAAAAGGCCAAAUUUUCGAUUUCUAGGGUUUUUGGUUCAAAGGUUUUUCGAAAAACCCUAGCCUCCAUGAACCCUAAUCGAAAUUAGGGUUAGGGUUUUGAAAAACUCUAGCCUCCUCCCUUGAAUUUCAAAAUAUGCUUAGUAUUUUUAGGGUUUCUUGUUUUGGAUAAUUGUUACUUGAUUAGAUUAAUUGGAUAAUUAUCCUUUACCCUAAUUUUCGAAAUUUAGAGGGAUAAGGAUUAGGAUUAAAUUAAUUGUUUAAUUUGAUUAGAUAAUCCUUACAAGAUUUAAUAAAUUAAUUAAAAGUUAAUUAAUAGAUAAAUAUUAAAUCUAGUUAUUUGGUUUAUUUUAAAUUUAAAAUUAAUGGCUUAAUUUNAUAUAUAUAUAUGUGUGUGUGUGUGUGUUAUAAUUAAAAGUUAAAUAUUAUGUAUGUAUAAGACUAUGGUCAGUCAAAUCGCUAGUGUGCCUCAUUCACGAAGCUAGUCUAUAAGGGGGGUAUAAGGAAAUUGCCUAUAAAAUGGUAGUUGAAUAGGUUUCCACUCUCACCCACCGCUUCCUUGAUUAGUGGAGGGUCGUUAGCAGAAUGGAUUUGAUAGGACAACUACAUCUCAUUAAAAGUAUAAUGUUAUUAAAGAAAGUACUAGAACAUUAUUUUACAAAAGUCCCAACUCUAGUUACUUUAGGAAAAAUGUGAAAAGUAUGCUAAUCCAUGAAAUUGCACAUUAUGCUUUAUUGGUCGUUGGUGGGGCGUGCGUGGAUAACCGGCACACUAAUAGGAACUAAUAAAGAGUAGUAAUAGGUAUCUUAUAAUUAUCAUUUUGAUGGAGCGUGUGUGGUUUACCGACACAUCAAUAGUUAAUGAUAAAGACAAUAAGGUUACCAAGCACAAUUGCAUGGUUAUUCACAUCUAGUUUGUGAUCCUCGGUAUCAUAGUCACAAAUAAUAGAGCAUAAUCUGAGAGUAAAACAUGCCAUUAAAUAGUUUUAAUGUAUCUCAAAAGAAUUAGGAAUUUCACUUCGUUUAAUUUGUCUAAUGGUGGAAUUAAUGAAUUGUCAUUCACCUACCUUUAUGAGAUUUGAACUUAGAUCUUGGCAUCCCGUUCUAAGUUGUAAAUCGUCGUAGUUGGGUCCUAACCUUGAUAUGAUAUCUUUGGGUUAUUAUAUUGAGGUGUCUUGAAAUCUAACUAAAACUAUCUUUCUUUUCAGAUGUCUACUCCUGGAAACACUUCUGCUUCACUCCUCCAGCCACAACUUCUCUUUACUCAACAUUUGCUCCAAAGUCGUUAUGGAUGGCUCUAACUAUAACGAUUGGAUGCGUAACAUCAAGAUGGUGCUUAGAUUCGAGGACAAAGAGUAUGUCCUUGAAAAGGAGCUCAAAGAACUUGAUGAGUCCAAAGGCACUCCCGAAGAGUAUGCUGCUUACAAGAAGCACUAUGAUGAUGCUACCAAAGUGGCAUGCAUCAUGGUCGCAACCAUGUCCCCAUAAAUGCAAAGUACUAUGAGGACAACUGGCCUUUUGAGAUGAACAAGGACCUUAUGGAAAAGUACCAUAAGCGAGCUCGUCAAGAAAAGUUUGAAGUAGUCAAGUCACUCAUGGCUUGCAAGAUGAAAGAGGGGGAGUCGGUUGUAUCUCAUGUGCAAAGAAUGCAACGCUACAUAGAGCGUUUGGUCAAGCUCAACAUUCAUUUUUAUGAGGAAUUGGUCAUUGACAUGGUCUUGAACUCAUUGCCGUAUUGUUAGGGUUCAGUUUAUCUUAACUUACCAUUUGAACAACAUUGAGCAGACACUGGCCCAAUUGCACAACUUGUUGUAGACUGCUGAAGCAGGGAUGAAGGGUAAAAAUAUAGCCUCCACUCCUGCAAGUGCUCCUGUUCUAUCUAUUGGACAGGGAAAGGGGAACAAGAGGAAAGGUCCUCCUAAGCAAAAAUAGAAGGCAAAGGUCCAAGUCGGGUCAUCUAGAUGUGGCCCGAAAGCUAAGCCCAAUGCUUCCAUUCCCCAUGUUUCUUAUCCAAAGGAAGCUGUUUGCUUUUAUUGCAAUCAAAAGGGGCAUUGGAAGAGAACCUGCCCACAAUAUCUGCAGGAUAUCAAAGAUGGAAAAUUGAAGCCAUCUUCGGCAGGUAUUUACACUAUUUCUUCUAAUAACUCAUUAUCUUCUCGUUCAUGGGUCCUUGAUACAGGAUGUGGUUUUCACAUCUGUUCUGAUUUUCAGGGGCUAAGGGAAAGUGAGGAGAUAGAGCGAGGAAGGAUAAACUUGAUCAUGGGAAACAAGAAGUCUUCACCAGUGACCAAGAUCGGAGUUUAUCAACUUUUGCUUAGUAAUGAUGUUAGAUUAGAUUUAUUGAAUUGUUGCUAUUCGUCUGAGAUGACGAGAAACAUUAUUUCAUUUCAUGCAUUGUUCAGACAAGGUUUUAAAUAUUCUUUUAAUGAUUUGAAUGGUUCAAUUUCGGUUUAUAAGAAUGGUGUUUUCGUGUUUGAAGCUUUACCUUGUGAUGGUGUGUAUGAAACAGUGACUUGUGUUGAUAGCUUAGGAAAUAGUGUGUUUAAUAUUGACUUGUCUAAUAGUGUAGACAAGGCAUGCUUGUGGCAUUGUCGUUUUGGACACAUUAACAAGAAACGCAUAGUCCAACUCCAAAAGGAUGGAGUCUUGGAAUCAUUUGACCUAAAAUCAUUUGAUCUGUGUGAAUCUUGUCUUUUGGGGAAGAUGACAAAAUCACCAUUCACAGGGUCUUGUGAAAAAGGUGAAGGUCUGUUGGAUCUCAUACACACAGAUGUGUGUGGGCCCUUCAGAUCAACCACAAGGGAUGCUAAUCGAUUCUAUGUGACUUUCACUGACGAUUAUAGCAGAUAUGGUUACAUCUACUUGAUCAAACAUAAGUCAGAAACCUUUGAAAAGUUCAAAGAGUUUAAGCAUGAAGUCGAAAAUCAAUUGGGCAGAAAGAUCAAGAUACUUAGAUCCGAUAGAGGCGGGGAGUAUCUUAGUACCGAGUUCAACGACUAUCUGAAAGAAUGUGGGAUAGUCUCACAAUUGACUCCUCCUAGGACACCACAGUUAAAUGGUGUAGCUGAGAGGCGUAAUCGAACCUUGUUAGACAUGGUUCGUUCUAUGAUGAGUCGUGCCUCGCUUCCUAUUCACUUCUGGGGGUAUGCCUUAGAGACAGCCGCCCACAUCCUCAAUCUUGUCCCUACAAAGAAGGUUGCCAAAACACCUCACGAAAUGUGGACAGGGAAAGUUCCCUCGUUAGCACAUAUUAAAGUCUGGGGUUGUGAAGCUUUCGUAAGACGAGAGACUCACGACAAGCUAGCAGCUAGAAGUGAGAAAUGUGUUUUCAUUGGUUACCCAAAGCAGUCUUUUGGAUAUUUGUUCUACAGACCUAGUGAAAACGUGGUGUUUGUAGCUCGAAGAGGAGUCUUUCUGGAAAGAGAGCUCAUAUUCAAAGAGGACAGUGGGAGUACCAUUGACCUUGAAGAGAUUCAAGAGUCAACCAAUGAAGGAACCUUAUAUGACACUAGCACUCAACCAGAGGAAACAGUUCCUGUUGAACCGGUUGAUAAAUCAUUACCUCUUCGAAGAUCCACUAGGGUGAGUGUGCCACCUGAGUUGUAUGGUUUUCAUAUUACUUCAGAUGGUGACACAUUCAUAAGUGACAGAACAUUGGUAAACUUAGAUGAACCAGUCACUUAUAAGGAAGCAAUGGCAGGCCCAGAGGCUUCCAAGUGGAAAGAGGCAAUGGACAGCGAGAUUAAGUCCAUGUAUGACAACCAAGUUUGGAAUUUGGUUGAUAAUGCACCAGGUCGUAAGACAGUUGGGUGCAAAUGGAUCUUCAAGAAGAAGACAGACAUGGAUGGGACUAUACACACAUUCAAGGCAAGACUGGUUGCGAAAGGUUUCACACAAACCCCAGGGGUUGACUAUGAUGAAACAUUCUCGCCAGUAGCCAAGAUUAAAUCUAUCAGGAUAUUGCUCACCAUAGCUGCCUUUCAUGACUAUGAAAUCUGGCAGAUGGAUGUCAAGACUGCUUUCCUUAAUGGGAAGCUGGUUGAGGAUGUUUACAUGAAUCAUCCAGAGGGUUUUCUCGAUGCAAUGUUUCCCAAUAGAGUAUGUAAGCUUGAGAAAUCAAUUUAUGGAUUGAAACAAGCAUCUCGCAGCUGGAAUCUUUGCUUCCAUGAGAAAGUCAAAGAGUUUGGUUUCUCUAGGAGUGAAGAUGAGUUUUGUGUGUAUAUCAAGGCUAGUGGGAGUAUAGUGACUUUUCUGGUGUUAUAUGUCGAUGACAUAUUACUCAUUAGUAACAACAUUCCAACCUUGAACGAAGUUAAAUCUUGGCUUGGAAAGUGUUUUUCCAUGAAAGACCUUGGAGAAGUGGCCUAUAUUCUUGGGAUUAGGAUAUUGAGAGAUAGAAAGAAGAGACUAAUUGGACUUAGUCAGAGCACAUACUUGGAUAAGGUACUAAAGAGGUCUAGUAUGGAAAAUUCCAAGAAGGGAGAGCUACCUAUCCAGAGCAACACAAAAUUGAGUAAGACUCAAUGCCCUAGUACAGACGAGGAAAUAGUUGAUAUGAGUCGUGUACCUUAUGCUUCCGCUGUCGAAUCGAUCAUGUACGCUAUGACAUGUACUCGCCCUGAUGUAGCAUUUGCUUUGAGCAUGGUCAGUCGCUAUCAGGGAAACCCGGGUAGAGAUCAUUGGAUAGCAGUAAAGAAUAUACUCAAGUAUUUGUGGAGGACAAAGGACUGGGUCCUUGUACUUGGUGGCAAUGAUACUUUGAGAGUAGAUAGUUACAGUGAUGCCAACUUUCAAACGGAUAGAGAUAACUUCCGUUCUCAAUCUGGCUGGGUAUUUCUACUGAAUGGAGGAGCAUUUACUUGCAAAAGUUCCAAGCAAGAUACGGUGGUUGAUUCUACUUGUGAGUCAGAGUACAUAGCAGCGAGUGAAGCAUCUAAAGAAGCAGCUUGGUUAAGGAACUUCAUCGGGGAUCUCGGAGUUGUUCCAACCAUCCAGGAGCCUAUGGAACUGUUCUGCGACAAUGAGGGAGCGGUUGCCUUAACUAAGGAACCCAGAGACCAUGGUAAAACCAGAAAUGUCGACAGAAAGUACCAUUUCAUCAGGCAUAGAGUAGAAGAAGGCCAUCUUGUUGUAAAGAGGGUAUCAUCUGAAGAUAACCCAGCAGACCCCCUCACAAAGGGUCUGAGUAGGGCUAAGCAUAUUCAGCAUGCUCGGAGCAUAGGGCUGAAAGAUGAUAUUAGUUUUAGUAGUUAGAUUAGUUUUCUGAAACUUGUAACAAAGUAAAUGUAAUUGACUUUUGGUGAUUAAAUAAUAAAGUAUUAUUUAUAAGUUUAGGUUCUACCUUUUGUCAAUUGUUUAUUAUUGUGUUUCAUUUUUGCAUGUUUUACUUCCCGAAUAAUAAGAUUAUUCAAACUCCACAGUCGCUCGUACUUUUGGAAGUAAGUAGUGAAUCAAGACUGUCAUGAAUUGGAUUGCAGAUUGUCUAAGGAUAGACAUGGCAAUAGAAUUGUUGCAAUGUUCACGAGUACUCAGAGAGUGAGAUUUGAGUAUUGGAUAAACCCACGCUCAGAGUAUUACUUCAUGGAAUUCAUCACGAGUAAUACUGAGACGAUAAUAUCUAUGAUCUUGAAACAGAGAUAUAUGAGUUAUAAUUUGCAAUUCGGUUAUACAUUGGUGAUACAAAAACACGUCGGUAACUUGGUGUUAUAAAACAUAUUGUCAUGUAUGGUUUGAUGAGUAAAAGAUACAAGCAUAUGAGUCAAUGUUUAUAUGUUCCUUUUUCCCUAACAGGAAAAGCGAUAUAUGUGGGCCCCUCCAUGAUUUGGUGUUGAUUUUUGUGUUGGGCCCAGCCAGGACUAAAUUGAUGUGUUCGAUUAAAAGUCCUAUAUCAUCACAAAUCAGAAAUCGGGAAACAUAGAUUCUGGACAAAGAGAUUUAUGGUAUUCCAUGUCUUAUGUCUAGAGAUAUCUAGUAGAACGAAGGGUCAUGUGAUCACUUAUCUUAAGACACGUAACUGACUGGGUCAGAGUUCGACAACAACUUUUGGAAGCUACAAUUUGCUGGUUAAAUUUAGAAGUCAUACUAGCAAUUAUAGUUACAAAUUUAUCGAAGUACGAGACUAUUGAAUUAGGUGUAUAAGCCCAUAACUAUAAUUGGUAUGUACUUGAAUUGAUAGCAGCACAGUCCUUUUGGGUUGCCCUCAAACCUAGCAACCGGACAAGGAAAUUAUGAAAGGAGAGAUAUUAAUUUGUUUAAGAUUAAUAAAUUAAUAUAAAUGAUUUAUUAAUAUGUUAAAAGAUUAAUAUAUUGAUUAGGAAUCAUUAUGUUUAAUUAAUAAUUAGCCAGAAAUUAAUCAAAAUUAAUUUUGGGGUUAAAAGUAUUAAUUAUAAAGUGCAGGGACUAAUUUGAAAUUAUCUAAUAGUUGAGUGGAACGCUCCAGAACCUCCUUGGAAGGGGGUGGACGAAAUCUAUAGGGGAAACCCUAAUAAUUUCGUCCAUGGGGGCUUGGAUAAGGCCCUUGGGUUUACUUAGGCCCUAAGCAAGGAGCAUUAGGGUUUUUCCCUAAACCCUAGAUCCCUCAGCUAUAUAAGGAGCCUUCUGGUUCAAAUUUUGGGCACUCCUUCUUUUGAAGAAACCCUAGGCCGAGAAUUGCAUACUCCCUCCUUCUCUCUCCUUCUAGUUUCCUUCUUGCUAGUUCUUGGGUGUGAUUCCAUUAGAGGCAUUACAUUUGUGGUGCUAAGCUUCCAAGAAGAUCAAGAUCAAGAUCAAGAGGAUUGUCAAUUGUUUGCUAUAACAAUUGAAAGGUAUGUAACUCCUAAACCCUAGUUUGUUAUUUUUGAAAAUAGGCUCUCUCCUCUAGGGUUCUUGUUUUGCAAAUCAAAGUUAUAUGUUCAAUAGUUAAAACAUAGAUCCAAAGUAGGUUGCAUGUGAACUUAGGACUUGUUUUUCUAGUUUAUUUGUUUUACCUAAAACCCAUCAAAGUUUACAAAGAUGAAGAUGAUAGUAAGAAUCAGUUGCAAGUAUAAUGAGAGUGGUUCAUGGACUAACUCUCCAUAGUCCAACAAAACAAAUGAGAGUGUGAUUGAUAUAAAGAUCUAGCAAUAGAAACUUGAAAGUACUUGGAUAUGGAUUUCCCAAAAGAUUUGAUGGUUGUUAAUAAUAUUGGCAUUAAUGAUGUAACAAGUUCGGGAAAAUGACCUAGAAGUAGUUCUUACAUCAAACCACAAUAAGAAAAUUUUGACAACAUAGAGAUCUAGCAACAAUACUAGAUAGAUAGGAAUAUUUACAGGGAAAAGUGCUACAUAGAGCAUAGAUACGAAGGCUAUUUCUGAACCCAAAAGAAAGGACGAGUAAAGCAUUUUUUACUAACGACGGGUACCCCUCGGGCAAACCCUCAAGUCAGCUAACUGACUCUCCACAUCAAGGAGGUGUCGCUCAUAAACCCUUUGGCGUACCCAGAGCUCUAUGACUUCAGCCCGAGUGGCAGCCAAUUCUUGUUGUAGAGCCUCAUUGUCUUUCUCACCUCUCUCAUGAGCAUCUUCUAGACGGAGAAUGCAGACUGUACUAAUUCCUGCAUGGGAAUCAGCCUCCAUGAUUCGGUGGAUGGUUGUUCUACCCUGCUCUUCAUUACGAGCAACCCUACGGACCAGAAUGGGCAGGAAUCUGUCUGUUGAGCCUCCCUCGCUCAGGUUGUAGAAGCUUUGAUCUCCAUUGUAUGGCAUUGGCUGACCCUGCUCCUGAAUCCAUGCACCCAAGUAUUCUGCCCACAGAGGCGUCGGGCCUUGAAAAGCCAGACGACGGUUAGGAUUUGGGAUUGGAGCCACCAGAGGCAAAUCAUUGAGUUCUGUCUCGGAGUCAGAAUCCUCCGGAAAGUUCUCUACGAAGUCAUCAUCCAAAGGGAUUGGAUGAUUCUCUUCUGGCUCGUCAUCAAACCAUCCUUCAUUGCCAUGGUUGGGGAAGUACGGGUCGCGAGGGAGAUUGAAUCCGUCCAUGUUAUCUACGCGAGAAUAAGGGUAAAAGAAAUAAUUAAUAGAUACACUAAUUAAGAUAAUUAUAAGAUGAUCCUUACCAGUUACUUCAAUAUUGCCAUAGUGCAUACCAGUCAUAUGUAACCAAAACGGAAUAGACCUUCGAAUAAGUGACCCUAACUCGAAAUCCACAACCAAACAAGGAACCAGAAAUAAAGCAAAGAUCACAUAUUCUAAGUCUAUGACACCUAAGUCACAUAUAACCUUAUCGUAUCCACCUAGCAACUAUUGACCUACUAAUAAAUACCUUUAGUUCUCAAAUAAGUAAUUAUAUUAACACAAAAUACUCCUAUAGUAUUUUAAGUUUAUGUUAUGUUCUAAUGUUUUCAUUGUAGUGUGUAUCUAUCCCAUCUAUGACUAUCAUUACCAAAAUAUAGCUUACAUUACCGUUUACGUGAGAAGAUCACAAUGUGAAUGCAAUAGGAAUAUAACGAUGUACUGUGGUAUUGUAUAUAACUAACUACUAAUGUACUAAAUUGUCACACCCCAAAAACCGAAGGCGGAAACAUUUCCGGGGUUGACUCCAUGUUGAGUAUCAAAUCCAAUGCACAUAGUAAGUAAAGUAGAACAACCAUUACAUUACAUAUAGAAAAGUUUUACAAGUGUUUCAAAAGUAAAGUUGUACAGUUGUGAUACAUAGUAUAUAUAUGAACAAAAUGAAACGGGUCUUCUGAGUACUCCGUCUUCGAGCAAAAAGGAUCUUCGGUACCUGUUCUAACGUUGACCUGAGAACACAAGCGGUUUGAAAAUCAGCAUAACGCUGGUGAGUUCAUAAGUGGUUUUUGAUUUUUGAAAAUAUCCAUGUUUCCUUUCUGUUUCUGAAAAUGUUAUGUACGCCAAGAAAAUCCCAUAUUUUCUUAAAAUAGUUGGUUAUUGUUACACGAUAUGUAAAGUAAAGUUGUACACUGAAAACAUGUUUACUCUUGUGAAAGUUGUACAUUUAGGUUAUCUGUUUGGCUAUAAUGUUCUGGUUAUGUACCAAUGGAUCCCCAGGAAAGUCCCAUACUUUCCUGAUUGUAUAUUACCAAUUGUAAAAGAUGUAAGGUUAUCCAGUUUGCUACACUUUUCUAGUUAUAUAAAUGUUUCCCCAGGAAAGCCCCAUGCUUUCCUGAAUGUUGGUUACCAUUUAUAAAAGAUGUAAAAGAUGUAUUCUAGUUAGACCUGGUUAUGUACAAAGUUUCCCAGGAAAGUCCCAUACUUUCCUGUAUGUUGGUUUCCGUAUGUAAAAGAUGUAAAAGAUGUAUUUCGAAACCUGGUUAUCUUGUGAAGUGUAUAAAGUUGUUCAUUAUUACUAUAAGUAAAUCUCUGUUAUCCUAAUUGCGAGUUCCAUAACCAUAUGAUGGACUUAACCUGUGGAAAUAAGUAGUCCACAUCCUUAUGACUUUCGUCACCCUUGAACCAUUUCGGUUCGGUUGUAGCUAGCAGCCAGGUGUGGGGUAGUCAUCCCCGUAUAGAUCUAUACACUCAAGUUACGCUCUCUAAAUCCCAAAGAUUCUGGUUACGCGUGUAGUCCUCCACUCGCGUAUCUCUGUGGAGUGUUCACCGAGGACGUGUCUCCAAUCAUACAGGAAUAACAAAUUUACUAGUAAUAAUAUGAUAACCCUCCAUUCGCGUAUCUAUGUGGAAUGUUACCGAGGACAAGACAGUGUACAAGUUUUAUGUUCAUAUGUUCUAAUGUCAUGCUUUUAACUGAUAAAAUGUGGGAAAACAUUUGUGAAAAAUAUAAAACAUAACAGUUUAUAAACCAUUUCACAAAUAAUAUGUUUACGUGAGCUGCAUGUUCAAACGGUUAUCAGUUGUACCAAUCAGUGUUAAAAGCAUAUAAUAUGUAAAACACACAUAUGAAAACAAGUUUUGAGUACAAGUAAUCCCUUGUACUUUGCUUUUGUUCCCCCUGAAAACAAUGAAAACAGUGAAAAAGGGUAGGGGUAUGAACUCACCAGACUCGGGAAUUCGACGGUUUCGGACACUAGAUGUUGGUUCGGGGCUUGAUUACUCACGAUGUCCCUACGUAAAAUGUAAUAAUGUCCAUAUAUAAUACUAAUUAGAUUUACUAUCACUAAUCUUAUGGAACAUUACACUCCAACGAGGUUAAACACCUCAAAACGGGCUUUUGGAGUGACCUGGGUGACAUCUACGGACGUGUAUUGGCACUAGGGACUUAUGAUUUGAGUUUACUCCCCAAGAGUAAACAUUUUAUGGAGUUUACGACCACAUAACACACACAUACAUGAGUUUACGGCCGUAAACUCAUGUUGGUGUGAUUUUGAGGGUUUAAUGGCUUGAAUGGACAUGGGGAUUGCUGGAAUGGACUUCUAAAAUGCUUUGGAUUAAUUUGUUUGGAUUUAUACCAUUUAAAAGGGAGUUCACGGCUAUAAACUUGGAGUUUACAGCCAUAAACUCUCUUAUGGUCAAGAGAAAUUGAUUUGAGGCAUUUAGAGUAAUCACAUGUGAUUCUAGUAAUUUUUCCAAGCUUUAAGAUGGUUUAAAGGCAUCAAAUGACAUAUAAUUUGGAGUUUACGGCCUUGGAGUAUGUUCUAUGGCCAUAAACUCUUAUAUGUGAUGUUUUGAUGUGUUUAAGGUCUCCAAACUAUUUUUAGGUGGUUCUAGGAUUUACCACAAGGCUAUUGGUUAAGUUUCAAGGCAUUCUAACAUGUAAAAAUGAGUUUAUCCCCCAUGUUUGAGGAGUUUACGGCCCAAGCACAUGCAUUGGCUGUAAACUCACUUUUGUCCCUCAAAAUGCAAGUUUAGGGUGUUCCAAGUCCAAGUUUGAAAGCCUCAAAGUCGUAUCUAAGUCCCAAAAAUGAUUUGGAAGGGUUAAAUGGCUCAAAAACCCCAUUAUUGUGUGUUUACGGCCCAAGCUUCAUCCUUGGCCAUAAACACAUGUUCCAGGUCCUACAUUUCAGUUUGAACUCGGAUUUGAAGGCCUAAGAGCUUGAAUAACAAGCUAGGAAGGUUACCUCUAUGAUUUGGAGCCUUAAAUCUUUGAUUUUGGACCUUAAUUUAGAGUGAGGAGAGAGGUUAGAGAGAGAGUAGUGAGAUGGAGCCAAAAGCUUCAAAUGAAGGCUUAGAACACAUUAUAUAGUGUCUAAGUUUUGGACAUGGCGGAAUUCUACCCGAUACCGGCGUUAGGUGGGGCUUUUGGUCGCACCCGACCAAGUUGCCGUAACCCGAUAUGUUCGAUUCUAGAAUUAUUCUGAUAACUAAUAUGGGGUGUUAGAAUGAUUUCUAAUGGCAUUAAGACACCCAUUAAGUCACUUUAGGUCGAUAUAUGUUAAUGACUUAAUUUAACGACGAAAUCGGAAACGGAUUUGGAAAAAGUGUUUGGUUGAUCGAAUUGGAUUACAAUUUGAGUUACAAGAAGUGAUAUGAAAUUUCGGGUUGUUACAUUAUUCCCCCGUUAGAGGGAAUUUCGUCCCGAAAUUCAAGACAAGAUUCAAGACAAAAAUACAAAUCACGGAUCUAGAAAGAGUUGCGGAUACUUCUGUUUCAUCGAGUCUUCCCGCUCCCAAGUGAACUCCGCUCCCCGCUUGGCAUUCCAGCGAACCUUCACUAACAGGAUUUGACUUUGUUUCGUACGUUUGACUUCUCGAUCCAUGAUUUUGAUCGGUUCCUCCACGAAGUUGAGGUUUUCAUCGAUCUCGAUCUCGUCUAAAGGAAUCACUAGGGUUUCAUCGGAUAGGCACUUCUUGAGAUUUGAAACAUGGAAUACGGGAUGGAUGUUACUGAGUUCGCGAGGUAAAUGAAGUUUAUAGGCUACCGGACCGACCCUGGCGAGGAUCUCGAAAGGUCCAAUGUACCUCGGAUUAAGUUUCCCACGCUUACCAAAGCGUACAGUGCCUUUCCAGGGCGAGACCUUCAACAGGACAUGAUCUCCAACCUGGAAUUCCAGUGGUUUCUGACGGUUAUCAGCGUAACUCUUCUGGCGAUCACGUGAAGCUUUCAAUCGUUCUCGGAUUUUGAUGAUCUUCUCGGUGGUUUCACAGAUGAUUUCAGGACCAGUGAGAGCACUGUCCGGGACUCGACUCUUGGCUAACUGGGUAUCCCCCACCUCGGCCCAACACAGAUGGGAUCUGCACUUGCGACCGUAUAGGGCUUCAAACGGGGCAGCCCUAAUGCUGGUGUGGUAACUGUUGUUGUACGAGAAUUCGAUCAAAGGUAGAUGUGUGUCCCACGACUUUCCAAAGUCAAUGACACAUGCUCUAAGCAUGGCCUCUAGGGUUUGGAUUGUUCUCUCACUUUGUCCAUCGGUCUGAGGAUGAUACGUCGUGCUCAUAUCUAGUUUGGUUCCAAGAGCUUUCUGAAGAGACUGCCAAAAUCGGGAGGUAAACCUGCUAUCUCGAUCAGAGAUAAUGGAAGCAGGUACACCGUGCAGUCGGACUACCUCUUGGAUGUAGAAUCGCAUGAGUCUUUCCAUCUUGUAUGAUUCUUUGAUCGGAACGAAGUGAGCGGACUUUGUCAAACGAUCGACCAUCACCCAAAUGGUAUCGUACCCACUCGAACACUUGGGUAGUUUGGUGAUGAAAUCCAUGGUGAUCAUCUCCCAUUUCCAUUCGGGUAUGUCAGGUUGCUGGAGCAGACCCGAGGGCUUUUGGUGCUCAAUUUUUACGUUGGCGCAAGUCAGACACCUACCCAUGAAUGUAGCUAUCUCAGCCUUCAUGUUUGGCCACCAGUAUUGUUUCUUGAGAUCUAAGUACAUCUUGUCAGAGCCUGGGUGAACAGAGUAUUUGGUUCUGUGUGCUUCCUCCAUGACUAACUCUCUGAAUCCUCCGGACUUGGGAAUCCAGAUCCGAUCCAUGAAACAAUGGACUCCGUCACCUCUGAUCUCAAGUUUCUUUUCCAUUCCUCUCAAGGCUUCGGUCAACAUGUUCUCGGGUUUGAGGGCUUCUAAUUGGGCUUCUCGGAUUUGUAUGGGUAGGUUGGAAUGGAUAAUCAUCGUCUGGUUCUUCACCUUGCGGCCUGCACUCUCCUUUCGGCUAAAGGCAUCUGCUACCACAUUGGCCUUGCCGGGAUGGUAACAGAUUUCACACUCGUAAUCACUGAGUAGUUCUACCCAUCGCCGUUGUCUCAUGUUCAAGUCUUUCUGAUCAAAGAUGUGUUGCAGGCUCUUGUGAUCAGUGAAGAUCGUGCACUUGGUUCCGUAGAGGUAAUGUCUCCAAAUCUUCAACGCAAAGACUACGGCUCCUAGUUCCAAGUCGUGUGUGGUAUAGUUGACCUCAUGUGCUUUCAACUGUCAAGAAGCAUAAGCAAUUACUUUACCCCUUUGCAUAAGCACACAGCCUAAACCUUGAUUAGAUGCAUCGCAGUAGACAACGAAGUCCUCUGUCCCUUCGGGUAGGGACAGGACAGGCGCGCUGCACAAGGCUUUCUUCAGCGUCUAGAAUGCAGUUUCUUGUUUAUCACUCCAAUAAAAGGGUACACCUUUCUAUGUUAGAGUGGUUAGAGGUUUGGUGAUUCUGGAAAAGUUCUGGAUGAAUCUUCGAUAAUAGCCAGCGAGACCCAAGAAUUGUUGGAUUUCUGUGGGUGUCUUCGGUGCUGACCAAUUCUCUAUCGCCUUUAUUUUGGAAGGAUCUACAUGAAUAUCCUCCUCGCUUACCACGUGACCGAGGAAAGUUACCUUCCGAAUCCAGAACUCGCAUUUGGAAAAUUUUGCAUACAACUUCUCACAUCGAAGGGUUUCCAACACUAGUCUCAAGUGUUGUUUGUGGUCUUCUUCGCUUCUGAAGUAGACAAGUAUAUCGUCAAUGAAUAUAAUGACGAACUUGUACAGAUAAGGACGACACACCCAGUUCAUCAGGUCCAUGAACACCGCCGGUGCGUUGGUUAGACCAAAGGGCAUCACUACAAACUCGUAGUGUUAAUAUCGAGUCCUGAAAGCUGUUUUGGAAACAUCACUCUCAUGAACUCGUAGCUGAUGGUACCCUGAUCGAAGGUCUAUCUUGGAGAAAUAACUGGCUCCCUGAAGUUGGUCAAAGAGGUCAUCUAUUUGCGGAAGAGGAUAUCGGUUUUUGACAGUCAACUUGUUCAACUAGCGAUAAUCGAUGCACAUUCGAAAGGAUCCAUCUUUCUUCUAGACAAACAGUAUCGGAGCUCCCCAGGGUGAGGAACUCGGUCUAAUGAAUCCUUUAUUGAGCAACUCAUUGAGUUGACUGGAUAACUCCUGCAUCUCUGCUGGAGCUAAGCGAUAUGGAGACUUUGCUACGGGAGUAGCUCCAGGAAUUAGGUCAAUACGGAAUUCGACCUGACGCUCAGGAGGAAUUCCUGGAAGCUCUUCGGGAAACACAUCAGGAAAGUUACAGACUUCGGGGAUGCUCACGAGGUCUUUAACUUCCUGUUUCUCGUUGAUUACAUGGGCCAAAAAUGCAAUGCACUCCUUUCGCAGAAGCUUCUGAGCUUUGAUGCAGGAAAUGAUACGAAGGUUGGAACUAAGUUUAUCGCCAUAGAUUACGAGAGUUUGACCCGACGGAAGGUUGAGACGGAUGGCUUUUUCGAAACAAAGGAUAUCCGCAUGAUUGGGACUCAAGCAAUCCAUGCCAAUGAUGACAUCAAAUCUCUUUAUGAAUACUGGCAUAAGAUCGAUAGGAAACGUAUGGUCGUUCAGGGUAAGGGUACAACCUACGAAUAACUUCGCUCGCGUUUUCUUUCUCACCGUUCGCCAUCUCGACGGUAAACAUUUCAGUUAAAGGUUGGGAAUUAUGUUUUAGGUUAUGUUUGAAUGUAUGACUAAUAAAGCUUCUCUCAGCACCCGAAUCGAAAAUAAUAUUAGCAUAUGAGUUGUCGAGAAGGAACGUACCCGAGACAACAGUGGGAUCGGCGACCGCUUCCUCCCGUCCCAUGGCGAGGACCCUUCCAGUGCUAUCAGCAGUAGACUUUUUAGGGCAGUUCCUUUUAAAGUGUCCAGCUUCACCACAGUUGUAAUAGGCUUGACCGACGCCUGUUCUAGAAGAUUGAUUGGCCGAUUGAGCUAGAGUCUUGCAAAAUCGGACCGUGUGCCCCUUUUUACCACAAUUGGUACAGGAAAGUUCUCGACAGGGGCUAGGAUUGUGGUGAUACUUGCACUUAUCACAAAGAGGAAGAUUACCAGCAUAACGGCUGGCAGGAGUUGGAGCUGUGGAUCCCGCGAUAGAAGCAGUAGCAACGGGGGUAGUAGCAGCAUGGACUGCUACUAUUUGCUGUCUUUUGGAGGAUCCUUGGGAUGAUUGACCCUUCUUUUUCUUCCAGAAUUUUCUCUUCUCACCACUGCUUUUAGUCGACUCAGGGACGGUGGUGGUUUCCUCGACAUCAUCACUGCGAUCAGUUAUGGCUUGGGCUAAAGUCUUAGCACUAUCAUAUGUGUCCGGGCGAGCAGCUAAGACAUGACCUUUGGUUGGAUUGGUUAGCCCCCAUAUAAACCUCUCGAUCUUUUUGCUUUCAGGAGUGACCAAACCAGGGCAGAGAAGGGCAAGAUCAUGAAUCGGGAAAUGUAUGCAGCAAUGUCGGAACCUUUCAUCUUCAGGUUCCAGAGCUCAUGCUCUAGCUUCUGCAUUUCACCACGGGGACAGUAUUCGGCAAGGAGGAGUUCUUUCAUGGCGUUCCAGCCCAUGGCAUUGGCUACGGGUAGGGUCAAGGAUUUGACUCGGCCAUUCCACCAAGUCAAGGCUUUAUCACUAAAGGUACAGGCUGCAAAUUUGACCUUAUCGGACUCAGCACAGGCACAGAUUUCGAAGAUGGAUUCGAUUUUCUCGAACCAUCGAGAUAGGGAAAUGACACAUCCAGUGCCAUCAAAGGAUGCUGGUUUUGCAUUCAUGAAAUCCUUAUAGGAACCCUCUUUUUGAUUUCCCUGGUUGUUUUCUUGAUCUUGAGUACCACCUCCCGAACCACCAGAACUACCGGUGUUCAAUUGGGAUAUGGCAGCUGCCACCGCGGCGGUAACAACUGUUUGGAAUAACACGGGAUCAAUUUCAGGAGGAGGUGGUGGCGGAGGGUUGUUGGUCUUUGAGCUGGGUCUCUUUCUGGGAGGCAUCUUGAUCUAAUAAGAUCAAGAAAGAGAGGAUGAUAAGUCCUCUGAAUUGAAUCGAGAGAUAUGACAGAUAUUUAUUCCAAAUAAGCGAUAAAGCAGGAAAGAGUUAUCAAAGCAGGUAAACUAUCGCUAAUGGAAUGAUCAAGGAUCUAUACGUGAACGAGGAUUCUUACAAAGGAUUGGCUCGAGAAAUACUCCCAUAGUAUUUCAUGAUUCGUUACUACACUGGCGCGAUGUUUGUGGUAUUAGGGUAAGUUUUAGGCAUGCCGCAUACCACAGUCACUCCCAAGCACAUGUUGGCCGUGUCUCGAAUGAAUAUAGUUGGCCAGGCUAUAUUGAUCCUAGACACGACUACAUAACUGCCCAGGUUUAACCGCAGUACACAACACCCAUUUACUUAUGUUUUGUUCUACUUGUAGUUACGGAUCUCGACGGUUCGGUAUACUUGUAUACUUUUGAAAAUACUUAUAGUUUGAAGAUACUUUUAAUUCAGAGCACUUAGGCCCUUUAGUGUUUAUAGUUUUAUACCAUGUAAGGUUUGGUAUACUUUAUUCACUAUAAACAAGGGCUCUGAUACCAAUCUGUCACACCCCGAAAACCGAAGGCGGAAACAUUUCCGGGGUUGACUCCACGUUGAGUAUCAAAUCCAAUGUACAUAGUAAGUAAAGUAGAACAACCAUUACAUUACAUAUAAAAAAUUUUUACAAUUGUUUCAAAAGUAAAGUUGUACAGUUGUGAUACAUAGUAUAUUUAUAUAAACAAAAUGAAACGGGUCUUCUGAGUACUCCGUCUUCGAGCAAAAAGGAUCUUCGGUACCUGUUCUAACGUUGACCUGAGAACACAAGCGGUUUGAAAAUCAGCAUAACGCUGGUGAGUUCAUAAGUGGUUUUUGUUUUGUGAAAAUAUCCAUGUUUCCUUUCUGUUUCUGAAAAUGUUAUGUACGCCAAGAAAAUCCCAUAUUUUCAUAAAAUAGUUGGUUAUUGUUACACGAUAUGUAAAGUAAAGUUGUACACUGAAAUCAUGUUUACCCUUGUGAAAAUGUACAUUUAGGUUAUCUGUUUUGUUAUUCUGUUCUGGUUAUGUACCAAUGGAUCCCCAGGAAAGUCCCAUACUUUCCUGAUUGUAUAUUACCAAUUGUAAAAGAUGUAAGGUUAUCCAGUUUGCUACACUUUUCUAGUUAUAUAAAUGUCUCCCCAGGAAAGCCCCAUGCUUUCCUGAAUGUUGGUUACCAUUUGUAAAAGAUGUAAAAGAUGUAUUCUAGUAAGACCUGGUUAUGUACAAAGUUUCCCAGGAAUGUCCCAUACUUUCCUGUAUGUUGGUUUCCAUAUGUAAAAGAUGUAAAAGAUGUAUUUCGAAACCUGGUUAUCUUGUGAAGUGUAUAAAGUUGUUCAUUAUUACUAUAAGUAAAUCUUUGUUAUCCUAAUUGCGAGUUCCAUAACCAUACGAUGGACUUAACCUGUGGCCAUAAGUAGUCCACAUCCUUAUGACUUUCGUCACCCUUGAACCAUUUCGGUUCGGCUGUAGCUAGCAGCCAGGUGUGGGGUAGUCAGCCCCGUAUAGAUCUAUACACUCAAGUCACGCUCUCUAAAUCCCAGAGAUUCUGGUUACGCGUGUAGUCCUCCACUCGCGUAUCUCUGUGGAGUGUUCACCGUGGACGUGUCUCCAAUCAUACAGGAAUAACAAAUUUACUAGUAAUAAUAUGAUAAUCCUCCAUUCACGUAUCUAUGUGGAAUGUUACCGAGGACAAGACAGUGUACAACUUUAAUGUUCAUAUGUUCUAAUGUCAUGCUUUUAACUGAUAAAAUGUGGGAAAACAUUUGUGAAAAAUAUAAAACAUAACAGUUUAUAAACCAUUUCACAAAUAAUAUGUUUACGUGAGCUGCAUGUUCAAACGGUUAUCAGUUGUACCAAUCAGUGUUAAAAGCAUAUAAUAUGUAAAACACACAUAUGAAAACAAGUUUUGAGUACAAGUAAUCCCUUGUACUUUGCUUUUGUUCCCCCUGAAAACAAUGAAAUCAGUGAAAAAGGGUAGGGGUAUGAACUCACCAGACUCGGGAAUGCGACGGUUUCGGACACUAGAUGUUGGUUCGGGGCUUGAUUACUCGCGAUGUCCCUAUGUAAAAUGUAAUAAUGUCCAUAUAUAAUACUAAUUAGAUAUAAUAUCACUAAUCUUAUGGAACAUUACACUCCAACGAGGUUAAACACCUCAAAACGGGCUUUUGGAGUGACCCGGGUGACAUCUACGGACGUGUAUUGGCACUAGGGACUUAUGAUUUGAGUUUACUCCCCAAGAGUAAACAUUUUAUGGAGUUUACGACCACAUAACACACACAUACAUGAGUUUACGGCCGUAAACUCAUGUUGGUGUGAUUUUGAGGGUUUAAUGGCUUGAAUGGACAUGGGGAUUACUGGAAUGGACUUCUAAAAUGCUUUGGAUUAAUUUAUUUGGAUUUAUACCAUUUAAAAGGGAGUUCACGGCUGUAAACUUGGAUUUUACGGCUGUAAACUCUCUUAUGGUCAAGAGAAAUUGAUGUGAGGCAUUUAGAGUAAUCACAUGUGAUUCUAGUAAUUUUUCCAAGCUUUAGGAUGGUUUAAAGGCAUCAAAUGACAUAUAAUUUGGAGUUUACGGCCUUGGAGUAUGUUCUAUGGCCAUAAACUCUUAUAUGUGAUGUUUUGAUGUGUUUAAGGUCUCCAAACUAUUUUUAGGUGGUUCUAGGAUUUACCACAAGGCUAUUGGUUAAGUUUCAAGGCAUUCUAACAUGUAAAAAUGAGUUUAUCCCCCAUGUUUGAGGAGUUUACAGCCCAAGCACAUGCAUUGGCUGUAAACUCACUUUUUUCCCUCAAAAUGCAAGUUUAGGGUGUUCCAAGUCCAAGUUUGAAAGCCUCAAAGUCGUAUCUAAGUCCCAAAAAUGAUUUGGAAGGGUUAAAUGGCUCAAAAACCCCAUUAUUGUGUGUUUACGGCCCAAGCUUCAUCCUUGGCCAUAAACACAUGUUCCAGGUCCUACAUUUCAGUUUGAACUCGGAUUUGAAGGCCUAAGAGCUUGAAUAACAAGCUAGGAAGGUUACCUCUAUGAUUUGGAGCCUUAAAUCUUUGAUUUUGGACCUUAAUUUAGAGUGAGGAGAGAGGUUAGAGAGAGAGUAGUGAGAUGGAGCCAAAAGCUUCAAAUGAAGGCUUAGAACACAUUAUAUAGUGUCUAAGUUUUGGACACGGCGGAAUUCUACCCGAUACCGGCGUUAGGCGGGGCUUUUGGUCGCACCCGACCAAGUUGCCGUAACCCGAUAUGUUCGAUUCUAGAAUUAUUCCGAUAACUAAUAUGGGGUGUUAGAAUGAUUUCUAAUGGCAUUAAGACACCCAUUAAGUCACUUUAGUUCGAUAUAUGUUAAUGACUUAAUUUAACGACGAAAUCGGAAACAGAUUUGGAAACGGCGUUUGGUUGAUCGAAUUGGAUUACAAUUUGAGUUACAAGAAGUGAUAUGAAAUUUGGGGUUGUUACAUAAAUACCUUAAACCACUUUGUUAAUUAAGGUAAAAUGUGAUGAGGUUGUAACCAUACUUAAUUGAAUAUUGAAACAUGAUGCUCGGAGGCGUCGAAAUGGUAUGACAUUCAUCACCUGUAGACCUACAGGUCCCACUAUAGCUAGCAGCAAGGUGUAGGACGGUCAUUCCCGUAUAGAUCUAUACACAAAUUCACGCUCUCCCUCCAGGAGACUCUGGUUUCAAAAUGUGACACAGCAGUAGAUUGCCAAGCCAUGAAGUAGUGGCUCACAUUAAUGUUAUAGUAUUCUAGUGUUUAUAUAGUAUGUUCUAGUGUAUUGUAUGCUCUCUCUGUUCUAGUGUAUAGUAUGUUCUCUUUGUAUAGUGUAGUGUAUGUUCUCUUAGUUUCUCAUCAUAGUAUGUUCUUUUUGUUUCUCAUAAUAGUAAGUUUGUAUUGACUCAUGAAUGCACUAACUCUUGUAUGUUUCAUUGUACUAGAAGUAGUGAGUAGUAAAUCCCUAAACUAUACCUAUUAUAGUUUACUAGUAAUGUUGUUUGAAUAACAGAGUAUGUUUAUACACCUUUGCUACCCAAAAGUGUUGAACUGAUGUAAUAACUUUUAUAUCUAUACAUAUGUACAUAAUAUAUAACUAAGAUUCAAAUGACACUUAGACAAUAACCGGAUACCCUAAUUCCACAACCAAACAAGGAAUAGGAAAUAAAUGAGUUAUCAGUAUUAACUCCUUUCAAUCUUACUUAUAUAACUAUAUCUAUAUAGACAUGAUUUUGACAAUAAAAAUAAGUUUAAAAGAGUUUAACAUAUAAAAGAGUUUUCACCAUUUGAAUGGUAACAGAUGACUUGAUGUCAGUUUAUAAAAUGUUUUGAAGAGUUGUUUGAUAAAAUAGUUUGAAGUAUAAGNCCCCCCCCCCCAUAAAAGCAUUUAAAAUCAUUUAAAAGGUAAAUUAAUGGGUAUGAACUCACCUAUAGUGAGUGAUGUGAAUGUAAGAUCGAUUGUAGGAUGCUAACUGCUAAGCGAAAUCUCGGGCACAAGCGGAUCCUAAUAAGCAUAUAAUGACACAUAUAUCUAUAUAAUUAUUGUAUAUAACAACUAAUCAUGAUAGGUAACCACUUUAGGGACUAGGAAACACUUGGAUUGAAGUGUUACAAUCACAUGUGAUUGCACAUAAAGGGGUUUACGGCCACACAUGGUGUUCACGGCCAUGAUGUUUACGGCCCAAUGUGUUUACGACCAUGGGGUUUAUGGCCCUAUGAGAUUAUGGUCGUACACUCAUGAAGAUAUAUGCCAAAUAUUGUUUUAUGGUCCUAUUCAGCAUCAAGGAAGUGUUUCUUGACCCAUUCCUAGCCUUACGAAGAGUUUUUGGCCAAACUAGGAACCUUAACAAGGGUUUACGGCCAAGGGAGAUGCUCAUGGCCAUAAACUCUCAUUGUUCUAAGGAAAAUGGUUGUUUUCAGGGGUGUAUGCUAAGAGCUUCUAUAGUAUAACUAGUAUAUGGAAGAUUACUUACGUUUUCAAGCUUGAAGGGGGGUGUUUAAGCUCCAAGAACUAGUGUGUGUUCUUGGUGUCUUGGUGUUCUUGAAGAUCUAACCCAAAAGAUGAAUUUCAUGGAUGAAAUCAAAGGAUGAUACUAAAUUAAGAAGAAUAAAAUCUAAUAACAUGGAAGGAGUGCUUACUCUUUUGAAGAUCAAGGUGAAAAUCUUGAUGAUAGUUGAGAGAGAAUCUGAAAUCUAGGCUUGGAAGUGUAAGAAAUGACUAGAAAUGAAGGUAAAACUCAUAUAUGGACAUGAGUUUACGGCCAAGGAGGUGUUUACGGUAGUAAACUCUAGUUUACGGUUGUAAACUCCUUACGAAUGGAGUUUCCGGCUUGUAUGAUGCACACUGCACUCUAGAAUACACUUCCUAACAUUCCUUCUUGAAGGUACUAGGCUUAUAACACUCAAACAGACCCUAAACAACGCUAAAAGAUAGCAAAAACGUGUCUGACUUUGAUUGAAUUGAAUGGUUGCACAAGAUAGAAAUUUCGGAUUGUCACAGCAUAGUCGUGACUCACCCAAACUAUAGGGUUUUAACCUGGUAAGCACAACGUACCUCUUCGUACGUCCAACGUACUCCGUCUGGGUCCAUUUCUUCUCAUUAAGUGCUUAAUCCUUAAAGACCUUUCAUUCAAAAUUAGAUUUAGACCCAAAACAUCGUUUUAAGUCAUAAAGUUUCCACCUCUAUGACUUUUCAUGGCUAGACAAGGUCCAAAAUCUAAAACCCUAACUUAAUAAUCCAUUAAGACGUCAUAACUCUUGCAUAGAAGGGAUAGAUGGACCAAGAUCAGAUUUUUGUGGUUACUAACACCUAAAAACGUCUGAAAGGACAACUCUUCUGGUUGGAGCAAUCCAUACUCAUGAACAGCAAGCUUAUGGGAGAAAAAAUGAACAAAACUCAAGGCUAACAAGAUCUAAGAAAAUAGCUCUUCAAGUUUCAAACAUUAUAUCGCCAAAGGAUGCUUGAGGUUGAAAAACUCAUGGAUCCAAGAUGCCUUGAGUUUCCAAGAUGAUUUCCAUUCCUUCUUCUUCCUUCAAGAACAUCAUAAAUGCACACUCAAGCUCAAAAAUGUUCACACAAUGGAUUAGGGUUUGCAGGGGAUGAUUUGGGAGAUGGAGGCUAAUGAGAGAAAAGGUCUUGAGGAGUUAAGGAGGUUUAAAUAGUUCUCAAACCAUAAAAAUUAGGGUUUGCACUUAUGCCACGUAUGCCCUGCAUACCAAAGAGUAUGCCUAGCGUAUGAGAAAAAUCAUGUGUCCCCUAUAAUGGGGCUUUGGGACCAAUUUUGAAAUGAAUUUUACACUAAGAGGGCUUAAAUGGAAAAUAAUUGAACAAUGGGUGUUACACAACCUAUUGAUUCUUAAUUUCAAAUUUCAAAUUUUAAAUUUCUCACUCUAAUUACAUUAAAUUAAUAACAUUAGAAUAAAAAUUAAAAUGAAAUUAAUAUAGAUUAUAAGGUGAUAUAAUUUCACGUAUUUAUUUAAAUCAAAGAUUAUAAUUUUAAAUAACUAAAAAAAUAUUUAUUAAUUAAUAAUUUAUUUAAAAUAAUUGAUUAAUAAUUUUAAGUUUUUACAAUGAAAGUUUAAUUAAUUUUGUAACCAUAGUUCCUACCGGUUAUAAACUAGUACAUGAAUAUAAAAAGGAUGCACCUUAAUACAUAAAUUCUUACCUGAUAUAAAUUAUAAUAGUCUUUCGUAUGUGCUUUAAAAAUUAACAACAAAAAAAAUAGUUUGAAAAAACAAAUACCAUGACAAUGGCAUAUUGUAAUAACAAUGACAUAUAUGAAUAUAAAGUAAGCAAAGAAGUAGAAUUAAAUUCCCAUAAAAUUUUUACAAUCAAAAUUAUUAAAAAUUAUCCCAAAAUAAAACCCUAAAUAAUAUAUUGAUCCAAAAUGGAGAUGUAAAAAUCAAAUAUAAUUUUGAGGGAAACUAGUAAGAACAAAAACAUUCAUUAUAUAUUUUUUAGAACCUAGUAUUGGACGAUGUUCCACCAUCGCUUGCUUCUAUAAGUUAUAGAUCAUAUGGGUUGGGUUUUUUUUGCUAAAUGAAUAGUUAUUCCCAAUUUCCCAUCCCACAUUGGUAAAAGGAUGAAUGUUUGGGAAGUCUCCAAGUUUAUAAUAGGAGUCUAAAGCUUUGGUUUCAAAGCACCACAAUCAAUACACUUCAAGUGCUUAUUUUUUUUCUUUCUAUUUUUCUUAGAGUUUAGAAAAAUGUUAGUCAAAAACUAUAGAGAGUGUAAGUAUAAUUUGGGGGAAGUCUUGAGAGAUUAGUCCACGUGAUUGUAACAAUUAUCAUAUAGUGGAUCAUUCUUGUCGGAGGCUUGUGUUUUUUCUUCGGUUUUGGAGUUUUCUACGUAUAUUCUUGUGUCCAGUUAUAUUCUUUAUUAUUGUUAUUUGGAGGGUUGUUGGAGAUCUUUGAGGCUAUUUUCUCAACAGUAGCGGAUAAUUCGAUUUUCAUUCUUUUUUAUUACCCCAUUUUGGUAACAUUCCCAGCUUUUUUUACUUCCAAUGAUUUCCUUCUUCAUUCACAAUCUAGUUGAUAAUACCUGGCGAAUUUUGGGCUUGGGAAAUGGGAAAAUGUUUUCUAUUGUAACAUUCCAAAUUUUCAAACAAAAUUUUGAUUCGUAAAUCAUAUGAAUCCAUACCAUUCACUUAUAAAAGUAACUUCUAGUUGUUUUCAUAAUAUAAAUUAGAGUAAUUAAAGCAUAUGUUCAGAACAUUUCAAAAUCACAAUAUAGCAAAUUCGAUGUAAUCACGUCGUGCUCUUCCCUUUGUUACCAGAGGAACCUGAAACAUUUAAGCAUAAAUUGUUAGCACAAAUGUUAACGAGUCCCCCAAAAUACUAUACACGACACAGAAUAUUGGCCCAACCCAAGGGGUAUAUUUCAACCCAACAGGCCCAACCCUAGUGAAUGUUAUGAUCCAACCAUAGUCUUACAGUCACUUUCGUGGCAACAGUACAACUACAAUCUUUCACGUUAUGAUCUAAUCAUAGUCUUUAAUGCAAGUCACAAAAACAAACAAGCAUAUAAUGACACCUAGUUUCCUACUAGUAUAGUGAGAAAAAUCACCUGAAUCCCAAAGCUGAAACCGACUACUUAUAGUCUUAAUAAAUCAGCUACACAAACCAACUAACUAAUCACAAAUUAAACCUCAGCCUAUAGCUCAAAACCUUCAUCGUUAACCCAAAAGUCGAAUUGGUCAAAUAGUCAAAAAAGCCAAUGGUCAAAUGUCAAAAUCAACGGUCAAAGUUAUUCAUGUCGUGAUCCACUAAAUGGCAAAAUAUUCGCGUUUUGCCCAAAACUCAUGCCACGAACCCCAAGAGAGUCGCGCCAUGAAUUCCCAUUUGAACCAACUCUUUUUAAUUCCUUCAAUCAUUAAGUAUAGAGCUCAUAAGCUCAAAUCAAGACCUUAUCAAUGACUUAAUGGAUAAAGUUUUCACCUUUUUACAUUUUCAUGUCUCAAAAACACCAUUUUGCAACCUAUGUCAUAAAGAAACCCAAAAUUCCACUAAGGACAUGCAUGGAUAAAAAAAAAAAGCAAGAUAGAAACCUCUCCAUUUGACCACAAUAGGUUCAUCAAUCAUAAAAUGCAACCUUUAAACCUAGAGUUUUCCAAAAUCUAACAAAGUAUGAACCAAGAGAGCAAAACAUGCCUAAAAACUUAGAUCUGCUAAGAAGAACACAUAUAGCUUGAAACUUAAGGACUUAUAAAGGUCCAAAAGAUGUUGAGCAUGAUGGAUAUAAGUUGGGACAAAGCCUCCUUGCACCAAGAGAGACUUCCUUCACCAUCAAGAUUCAUCAAAAGAGGCAUAAACACUCAAAACUUGAGCAUGGAGGCUAGGAUUAUUGUAAGGAACGUUUGGAGAAGAUAUAGGUUGACAAAUGACAUAAUUCCAAGAGAUCAUGCCUUAAAAUAUGGAGUAACCCCUAAAAAAAGGGCAUGGGUUCCAACAAAAAUCACAUUGUGAUGCCCUAUGGAUCACGUCGUGAUAGAACUAAUCUAGUAAGGCAUAAAUAAACUUAAACCUAAGCUUCCUUCCAACCCAAAACUGAACCUUAUAUCUAAAAUAUUAUUCUCUUAGCCCAAAACCUCAUUCCUUUAAGGUCCAAACUUCAACCUUUAAAGCCCAAAACCUUCUCAUGAUCAAUUAAGUUCGUCUUCCCAAAUAAUGAAACAUCCCAAAACCGGGUGUUACAUCUAUCUAGCUACUACUACAUACGACCAAAAUUUUGAGGGCCCUUUGGAAGGAUAGGCCAUGGUCGAUUCCAUACUAAAAUAAUCGAAAACCACCACCAGCUACCUACAACCACAAUCGGAAAAUCAUGCCACACCAGAAGAAAGUUUAAAUUAAAAAAAACAAACCAGGAACCUAAUCUUGAGCAAAUCAAAGGAGAACCCAGGAAAAUCAAAGCAAAGAAACCAAGAAAUAGGAACCAAACCAAGAAAAUCAAACCUAUAGGAAAUCCUUGGAGGAACUAGAUUGAGAAAAUCGUUAUAAAAACUAGAGAUUCUGAUGGGUGGAAUUAUGUUUUAGCUUCUUUGGAUUCCAGAUCAUGGGGCAGCCUUAGAUUUCCUUUGGAGAAGAUAGUAGUGACCAAUGUUAUUCACGUAUAAGGAAACAAUUCCAAUGUAGGGACAUGGUUCGAGAUGGUGGUUGAAGUGGUUUAGGGAAAUGGAGAUGGGUGAAAGUGAAAAAGGAUCAUGAUGAUAGCGGUGUUAGCUCUAACGGAUCUAACCAUGUCUUCAAGUUCACCAGCUCUAAUGGUAGCCCUGACGGCAGAGAUUAAGGGGAACGUGGAAAACCAAUUCCAAUGGAAGAAAUCAAAUGGAUCUAUGGUUGAAUGCAUUUGACGUGACGAGAUAAAGAGAUAGGUGGGACCCAAUUUUUCUUUUAUAACGAAAAUGAUUAUUUAAAAUAUAGAAAAUGUCUAAUAAAGGCAUCAUAAUCUUUAAGUAUGGCAGGAUAAAAGGCAUAACAAAAAGAAUAUCUUAAGACGGUCUGAAUACAAGAAAAAAGAAUAAUAACUAAUGUACAAUUUUGACUAAAUGUUGCAAAAUGUUACAUCAUAGCAUCGUUUUAUUUUCAUAUGUAGUUGAUUCUUAACUCUCCUACAAUGACUUUUAUACCCUUUUUAAUUUUUUAAUUUUUUUUAUUUUAGUUCUUUUAUUUAAUUUCCAUUUUUUUAAAAAGGGGGGAAAAUAGACUCACCCCCUUCCCACCCAACCCCAUAUACCCUUUCACUGUCCAACCCAUAUCUCUUUCCUUAUUUUUCUUUACUUUUAUACUUCUUCUUCCCCACCUACUUCAUCUGAAAACUUACAAAGAAUAACAAGAUAAACCUCGUCGAAUAGGAGGUCAUCAAAGAUGGUGGCCUUAGUCCUUGUCACUCCCUGUCAUUACUCUAACUACACACUAUUUUGCUAUGUCGGUCACGACACUGUUAUGUUCCAUUGUUGCCAUUUUUCCUAUCACCAUCUCUCUUCUAUCGGUUACAAUUUUGCAUCCUCACCUCUUUAUGGAGCUUCAAGCACUAGAUGCUCCACCUUACUUGUAGGUGUUACUCUACUACUCAUUGAUUGUAGAACUUUUGCUACUACUACUAGUCUUAGACAAGCUAAACCCUAAGGCUACAAGAAAAAAAACCCAUCAAUACAAGGGGGAGAAGAUUAAUUCAUAAGAAAACUUCCUAAGUAGGCAUUGAUUCCAUCAUGGAUAAUGCUUCAUAUUCUAAAGAAAAAAGAAAUGCAAGUUGAAACCAUUCCUUCACAGCCCUCAAUUUUUGCUUGACGAAGUAGCCUUGAAUAAGGUGUAGUUUAUUCCUAGAUUAAUUCUACCCAAGCCUUCCCCCUUUAAGGAUUUACAUCCCUAAAUGAUUUCAUUUGGUGCUCAGAUAAGUACAAGGUAUUAAUCCACAUUCUUAGCAAGAAGUUUGUCCUUCCUUAAAGGAGAAUAUGUAAUGGUAUAGGGAUUCAACAUUUUAAUCAAAAUGGUAUUAAAGCUUAUGGGCAAAAAUUAAGUAAUAAGAACACAUAUAUCAUUUGACAGGGGUUUAUAUAUGGCAGUUGGAUAUUGUGAAAUUAGCGUUCGGAGUUGAAAAGGGGGUGGUAGCGAAGGAGGUAGAUGAAGAACGAUAGGGUAUAGGAUGGGGUAGUGUGUAUUUUUUAAAAUUACUAUUAUCAAAUUUUAAGAAUAAGUAAAGAAAAAAGAAGAUGUUAGAAAGGGAAUGAUAGUCUUUUUGUAUGGAUAUGGACCAAUCUUGCAAGCAAAUAAAACCACGAGGACCACAUGUGUGAUGUCCUACAACAUUGUCCUUAAAGCAAGACUCUUUGUAAACAGCAAGGAUAAAUUUUGAAAUUUUGUCUUUACUUUGUUAAAUAUAUAAUUUAGUGCUUUUAUUUCAUUUAUAGUAUAACUUGUAUAUUCUAAUUAUCUUAUUUUAUGAUAGAGUCUUAUCCACUUGUUCUUUCAUGAGGUUUUUACUAAACUUUUAGAUUCAUUAAUUAUAAAUAUUUAGAAAAUGUAAGUCACAUUUUGUGUUUAGACUCACUCAUGCUAAUAGUAUAAUUUAUUAUGCACGAUGUACAACCACUCUCCAUACCUAACUAUUGUUUCCAUCCUUUUCUUCUAGUAGCUUCCACAGAAGCAUGUUUCAGCCGAACAAAUGCUUUUCACGCUCGAUGGAUGUCGCCUGUCUCCUGAUGAAAUUAUAAAUAUUUACAAAAUGUAAGUCACAUUUUGUGUCUAGAUACAUUGUAGCUAAUGGUAUACUUUAUGAUGCAUGUUAUACAACCAUACUCAACACAUUGCUAUUGUCUAUAUUGUAUACUUCUCUUCUAGUAGUUUCCACAGAAGUAGGCUUCAACCGAACAAAGGGUUGUCAUGCUCGAUGCAAGUCGCUUGUCUCCUAAUGAAAUGGUCGCAUACGUAAGUGCGUCUCAUCCACUUCUUUCAUUUUCUGUCAUAAGGUUUUCUCUUCACAUGACUGCUUCUUCUUAUUUUCUUUGAUUUCUUAUCCUUGGGCCUUCCGAUUUUUGUUGUCAACAUAAUUUCUCAAGUCUCCUUGAACUUAUAGACUCUUUGAUAGCAUCUACGUUUACAUAAAUGGCAUCACUUUGGACCAAUCUUCCCAAAUCCUCUUGUUAAGCUCAUAUGUCCAACUAAUUAACAUACAUUAGCUUCUUUCAUAAAUAAUAACAUAAAUUUCAAUUUUCAUCAAUAGAAACCAUAAUUAUGAUCAGUUUUGGUUUGUGAUUAUGUUAACAGGUCUUAUCAAAAAUAGGAAAAGACUAAAAUCCCUGUUCUUUAUACUAAAACAUCCAAAAUAAUAUUCACCAGACCAAGACCUACAAAAUAGACACAAAUAUUAAAAUAUGUCAGAAAAAAAUUGUAAAAGUAGAUGGAUUCCUAAUAUGAAUUAAAGGAUUUUGUGUACCUUUUUGGCCUCAAACACAUCAAAACUUAUGGAAAAAAGAUGUAAAAACGUUGUUGAAUUAUACAACAUAGAGUAAAAUAGAUUAACAGAGCAAAAGUAGCAACCUAAAGAUUCACUAGAGCCCAAAUCACAGCCAAUGAUAUUGCCGACAUAAAGUCAACUCUUUUCCCAACUUUCUAUCCUAAACCACUUUCUAUAACCCUUUUCAACUACAAUAUCAGUAAACAUCAGAUCAUAUGCAUGGUUCAUAUAGAAAAGCCUAUUUAAAUCAAAAAUUCUCUUCUCCAAAUCCUAUAAAGAGAGAAAUGGCCAUGAAUCAAUGGAAAAAAUUCCUUGUAAAGAUGAUUCGAAAUCCCAAGUGUAAAAAAAAUGAUCUCUAAGAGCUAAUAUGACUAAGAAACUUAUAGUUGAUAUCAAAUCCAACUCCAUUUAUGAUCCUAUAACUACAUGGUCCUAGCAAUGGAACCUAAUAUGAUUCUUGCACAUACUUGAAGAAUAAACUUAUUUGCUUUUGAAAUAAAGCUACUCAAAUAGAUACACCUCUUCAAAAGCACAUCAAGGUUGUUAAAUUCUAAUGGAAUGUCCAUCUAGGAAAGUCAAAGUGUUGUGAAAACAAGGAACAUGGACCAUCUUUAUUUAUAAACAGAUGGAUACCUUAAAAACUCAAAAAAAAAAUUUGUCCUAUGUGUUUUUUAUACUCUCAAUCUUUCUGUAUAACUAUCAAGUUUUAAGUUAUAUGUGAUUUUGGAACAAGUGCUAAAGAAAUUAUGUAGUAUGUUCUUAUGGAACUACUGCUAAAGAAAAAUAAAGUGGGUUGAAAGAAAAGUAAAGUGGUUUGAAAGAUUGACAACAUCAUUUUCCUGAUGUGCAUCAUAAGUUAUAUGGAUGUGUGAAAUACUCUUCUAAGUGCUUAAGUGAUGUGAUAUAGGUUAAGAGAAUCAAAAUAUCACUUUGCUAACCUUUCUUAGGUUAACAUCUAUAAUAUGUCACUUGCUUCCCCUCUGUUUUGUAAAAUUAUAAUUUUCAUCCCUUUAUUUAAAUAAAUAUGACUUUCACCCCUUCCACCUUCAACUUUGCAAAAUGUCACCUUUACCCCUUCAUUUUCAAAAUUUUCAGGUUUAUCCCCCAUACCCGUAGUAUAUAUAAUAUGAUUUUCACUCCUCUACUUUGUAAAAUGCAUUUUCCUAUUUCUUUGGCCAUUGCUAUUUGUCACUUUUCUUUACAAACGUUUACACAAAGAGAAAUAGUUGAUAGGUUUUAUAGGUUACAUUAAACAUAUUUUCACAAUGGAAUUAACACAUAACCUAAUUAUAGGCACAUGCAACCUAUGGAUCUAUGUUUUUACACAUUAUAGAAACAUACUAUUGAAACUACUAGAAACCCAAGGUAUAAUCGAAAGUAGAAUAACAUAUCUUUAGUAAUAGAAUUGCAUGUAUCACUCUUGAUCUUCAAUUGGUCUUUAGAAAGCUAGCACAAAAAUUAUGGAUAUCUCUAGUGUCUCACACCCGAACCCUAGAAACUAUAAAAUUCNUCAAGCGACAAACUCAAUGAAAAUUACAACCCUAUGGGUCCUUUUAUAGCUUCCAGAUUUCAAAGGAUAAACCCUCAUUUUAAUAUUAAAAUAAUCCAUCUUAAUCCUUAUUCAAAUUAGUUUCCGUAUAUGCAUUUAGAGGCUUCCAUAUGUCACACCCCCAAACCGGAACGACGAAAACAUUCGGGGGCGGAGGAUGUCAUGUACAGUAUCACAACAAUUGUAUAAUAGUAGUCAAAGCAACAACAACCUUUGUAUUAAUAACAUAGUAUUUACAUUGUGUUCAAAAUAUUACUUGUUUAACAUUAAAACUAUAGUAAAAGAUAAGACGUAAUGCUACUAUGCUCCAUCUUCGUAACGCCUGAGAGGGUACCUGUCUACUAAUAUUCCUAAGAAUACAUGUGGUUUGAAAAAAUGUCAAUAUCUAAGUUGGUGAGUUCAUAGUAUUUUGUUGGAAAAUAUGUUAUUGGAAAUGUUAAUAUGUUCUUCUAGAAAAUCCAAUAUUUUCUUAGUAAAUAAAUCGUAAUCUUGGUACUUUGAGACUAAAAAGUAUAAGUUUCUUAUAUUUAUAACAUGUGAUUCGAGGUUAGGAUUCAUGUGAUUGGUAUGACCCGUAUUGUUACCUCCUAUGAUUAUUUAGUGUAUACAAUUUAUAUAAAAUCAAAGUCGAACGGACAGUCGAUUGGGUGAUUCUGCCCUAAGCCCACAACCAAACAAGGAACGGGAAGAAAGGCGGAAAUCACACAUUUCAUUGCCUAUCAGAUCUUUAUUAUAUAUAAUUGUAAUGUAUAUAAUAAGUAAUCAUAGACUUUAGUAAAAAGAAUAUUUGAUAUAUGUUUUCUGAAUUUUUGUUCGCGCCAUAUUAGUAAAUAAUAUAAUAUUUUGCCUUUUGUGAAACUAUGUGUAAAUCUAGAAAUUUAGUACUUACAAAUAAUGUAAUAUUGUUUUAUUAUUUAAAUAAAACCCUUGAAAGUAUAUUUGCUCUGAAAUCUGAAUGUAAGGUUAAUAAUAAAAUAAAAUUAUUUGAUAAUAUAUUAUUCGUAAAUAUGUCGUUGUUUUCUCCUUAUGAGUUCUUAUAACCAUACUAAACCAGUCGACCUAAUCGCGACGUUCUUGAAGCAUCGAAAUGUUAAUGACAUUUGUCACCGUAAGCCUGCCGGCCUGACUUUAGCUAACAGUUGGGAUGUGGGAUUGUCAAUCCCAAAUAGAUCUAUACAUAAAUAUCCCGCUGUCACAACAAAAGAUUCUUGUUAUAAGGCAGGACUUUUACCCAUACUUAGAUAAGUACAUGAAGACAUCUCACAAAUUUCUUCAACAUUUUUACGAGUAAUAAUUGAAAUCCCUUUUUGUUUAGAUGUUAAUCUGAUCUUUGUAAAAUAGUUCCUUUGUUUCAUAAACUAUAUAUAUUAUAGUUUAUAAGUUUGUUUCCAUGAUGUAACCUGAACUUUAUAAAAUAGUAUCUUUGUUCCAUAAACUAUACCUAUUAUAGUUUAUAAGUUUGUUUAUUUCGUUGAUUGAAUGUCGUUGCGUCUUAACAUGUUUUUAAAUCUUUGUAAAUUUAAUAAUAACAAUGUUUUGCAUAUUUAAUAAAUUUCACGUUUAACUUCAUAUUAACGGCAAGAAAACAUAAUAAGAAAUUUAUGUUUUUAAACACAAUAUUUCUUGUGUGUUACUUGUAUUCCCCCCUAAAACAAUUUAAAAAUUAUGAAAAUGUAGGGGUAUGAAGUCACCUUAAGUGUGAUAACGGUUUUGAUAACGGAAUAGAAUCGGUGACUUCGAUUUAAAGUACGUAAGAAUAGUCGUAUCCUAAUAGUUUAUACGCAUAUUAACGGGUAUAAAUUAGAUAAUCUAAUAAUUUAAAGUGUUAAAUAACACUAGUUAUAUAAUUAAAACUAACCAAAACUGAUGACUUGUAAAGAAGAAUGUCUCUUGGAACUUUAAAUUGAGAGGAAAUAUGCUUGAUAUUUGAGAGAAAAGAAGUUUGGAAUUUGGAAGAGUUUGUAAAUAAUUUUGUUUAUUGGAAGUAUGAAGUGAAAUUGAUCUUUAUAUCAUAACUUACAUAGGAAGGAAAAGGUAAGUCGGUUGAGGUGAUUAUCACAUUACGAAGAUAAAUGUGUGAAAUAUCUAACAUUUUGAGAGGUUUUCGGCCGAGAACUCUACCCGAGAAAGGAGUUUUUGGUCAUGAAGCUUGCGGUUCGAGUGGUUUGCGGUUGGACUGAUUUCGGUCCGAGGUGAGGUCUUGCGAGGGUUUGCAGUCCAACUCGAUUUCGGACUGAGGGGGUAGUCUCUCAUAAGGUUUUCGGUGGGUGUUCUUGGUGUCAUAUGGAGUCACCAAAUGGUGAUUUCGGUUCAUCCAAUUUGAGAUUAAAUUCUCAAUUAUCGAAUAUAUAAAAUGUUUAAAUAAAUAAUAACAUUAUUUGACAUAAUACUUGACGUGUUUGACUUUUAUUUAACAUGUUUGAAUUUUGUUGACUUGUUUUUUACCUUUAUUGAUUUCGAAAUAACGGGUUGUUACAUUAUCCCCCCGUUAGAGGGAAUUUCGUCCCGAAGUUGUUUCUAAAGCAGUUAUUCCUUGAACUAGAGAAAAGGACGUGGGUACUUUUGUUUCAUUAGACUUUUCUGUUCCCUAGUGAAUUCAGGUUCUCGCUUGGCGUUCCACCGGACCUUCACUAAUAGUAUGCGACCUUGUUUUUCUUAGUCUGACUGUUUGUGUUAGGACGUUAUUGUACUUAAGAUGGUAGAAAGUGUGGGUUUAGUUUACUUGUUUAUGGAGUAAGCUAGGAAGGUUUGGUACCACUCGCAUAGGAACUUCUGAGUUUUGAAGUGAGAGAUGAUACGAAGGUUUAUGUCAGAUUUAUCGUUAUAGGUUGAAAAGAUUUUGUUAGACGGUCGGUUAGAGCGAAGAGUCUUUCCGGAGCACAUGGACUUGGUAUAGUGAGGACCAAGCCAAUCCAUUUCUAAUGGCCACUUCGGAACUUCUUAUAGUAACAGGCGUUAAGUCGAUUAGGAAGAAGUGUUUAUUUUGAGCGAUGGCAUCUUCUGUGUAUAUGUCUUUAGUGCCUUCUAUUUUAUUCUUGUUAUUACUGUUGCGAAUAUUUGCACCAUAUUUAACUAGUAUAGGUAGUAAGAGUGCUAUGAUAAUUAAUGAUGAAAUCUCGUAAUAUGAUCCCUACAACAUCCCUCCAUUCGCUUAGUGUAUACAAAUCAUAUAUAGUUAAGAUUGAGAAGACAGUCGACUGAGUAACUCUCCCUAAAUCCACAAUCAAACAAGAAAUAGGAAAUCAGGCAGAAUCACUCACUCUAAGUCUGCAGAAUCUUAACUAUAUAUGACUCUAAUGUUACACUAAGCCAUCAUAGCUCACCUAUAAGGAUCCUUAGUUUUUAUAUGAAUGAUGUGUUUUAUUUGUAUGAGAAGGAAAUUUAUGAUUUUGAUUUUUAAUUGUCAAAAACUUUUAUGAAAAUUCGAUGCUUAAUUAUUGUUAUUUGGAAAACAUACCAAAAAUUCCAGAAGGGUUCCUCGUUGCUUUAUCCGUUGGAUUAAUGUCUAAGUCCAUAACUAUAAUUGAUAAGACUUGACCCGACCUGACAUGGUCCAUUUGGGUUGCAUGGCAUCGAGACAAUUGGAUAGACAAGAUGAGAAAAAGGAUACUAGUGAUUUAUAUUAAUAUAUUAUAAGUUCUAAUAUAUUAAUAUAUAAUCAUAUUAUUUAAUUAGUGUUCAUCAAGAAUUAAUUUAUAAUUAAUUAAGUGAUCAAAAGGAACUAAUUAAAUAUGGACUCUUAAAUAUAUAUGUGUGAUGGGCCAAGUUCAUUUAGGUUGGGUUAAGCUUUCAUGGAUAGUCCAUGGAGUUUUUAAACCAUGGAUCAUAUGAAAAGAAGGGUCAUGGGUUUAACCCUAAUCUCCAUACUAUAUAAAGAUGUCCUUGGUUGGUGAAAUGGGCACUAGUGUAUGUAGACAAAAGGGCAAGGCUAAUUUCACUAAAGAGAACCAUAGUAUCCUUAUUCUCAAGUUUAUUCCAAGUGUUCAUGGUUUUGUGUGAACCAUUUGAGGUGUCACACUUGGGGCACUAGGCACUCAAGCUUCAUGAAGACAAGUUACAUCAACACGGUAUGUAUUCUAACUUGUUAUAUUACCCAAGUAUCAAAGAUUGUAUGCUAGAUAGGGAAAUACAUUGGAAUAUUCAUAUUUGCAUGUAUAAUAGAGAAAACAUACAUCCAAGGUAUUUAAGGUUGCAUGUACACUUAGGAGUGUUAGAAUCUUCAAAACCCAACAGUGGUAUCAAAGCCAUGGGAUGUUUUCUGUUAUAUUGAUGCAAAUGUUUUAUUUACAAAAUUGAAAAAAAAAAAAAAAAGGAAUCAAAUCAUGAUGUUUGUCAAAUUUUAAGAUAAUUACUUGUUUUUGUGAAAAACUAAUUAUUUGUAAAAUUUGAAUCAUUAGCUAUAUGAGUUGAAUUAGGUCAAAUUUAGUAAAAGAUAAAAUGAUAUGAUUAUUUUAUUAGUUUUAAAAGUUUGAUCAAAAUGGUGUUUUUUUUUAACCUCCAUAAGUUAUGUAUAUGAAAAGAUUUUAAAAAAUUGAUUCAAAGUUUUUUAUGGAGUUACAAAAUUUGGUGUUAAUGUUUUAAAGAAUUCCAUAACUUAUUCUUAAGUUAUGGAACAUGAAAAGUUUCAUCAUAAAACAAGCAUUUAACUCCAUAAGUUAUGGAUUACCAAAAGUUUUAUGUUUCCUUGAUUUAUGAGUUAGUUUAGAUUAAUGAAAAAAAAUUAUGUUUUAGUUGUUUUCAAUCCUAAUUAAUCUAGAGGUAGUUCAUAAAAUGUGUUUUUGUAACUUGUCCUCAAGUUACAUAAAAGGUCACAUUUAUGAAUCUUAAAACUCAUAAAAGUGUCAUAGGUUACAUAAAAANNNNNNNNNNNNNNNNNNNNNNNNNNNNNNNNNNNNNNNNNNNNNNNNNNNNNNNNNNNNNNNNNNNNNNNNNNNNNNNNNNNNNNNNNNNNNNNNNNNNNNNNNNNNNNNNNNNNNNNNNNNNNNNNNNNNNNNNNNNNNNNNNNNNNNNNNNNNNNNNNNNNNNNNNNNNNNNNNNNNNNNNNNNNNNNNNNNNNNNNNNNNNNNNNNNNNNNNNNNNNNNNNNNNNNNNNNNNNNNNNNNNNNNNNNNNNNNNNNNNNNNNNNNNNNNNNNNNNNNNNNNNNNNNNNNNNNNNNNNNNNNNNNNNNNNNNNNNNNNNNNNNNNNNNNNNNNNNNNNNNNNNNNGUGUAACCUUAAUUAAUUCCAUAAGUUAUAAAAUAAAGAAAAGUUAAUUCUUUUAUUAGUUUAAAGUCUUCCAUAACUUGUCCUCAAGUUAUGGAACUUGAAGAGUUUUUGGAUUAAAACUACUUUAAACACAUAAGUUAUGGAAUUAAUUAGUUUUGAAUAGUUUCAAAACUUGCCCUCAAGUUUUGGAAUUUGUAAAGUUUUCACUUAUGAAUACUUUAAUUCCAAGUUAGCCCUUAGAAUUUUAAAAGUUAAAAUUCAACCCUUAUACUUUAUAAUAUUAUAAGUUAAUAAUAUAUAUAUGUAUAAGAGUAAAGUCAGUCUUACCGCUAGUACGCCUCAUUCACGAAGCCGGUCUAUAAGGUGGGUAUAAGGUUGUUGCCUAUAAAAUGGCAACUUAAUGGGUGUCCACUCUCACCCACCGCUUCCUUGACUGGUGGAGGGUCGUUAGCCGAACGGGUAGGACAAGGACUAUAAUUCUCCCUUCAUUAAAAGUAUUAAUGAUAAUACUAAGUAACUAAACUUCUUAGUAAUACCCAAUCUUAGUUACUUAGGAAAAUGUGAAUUUGCUGCUAAUCCAUGAAAUUACACUUUGCACUUUGUUUAAGUCGGUUAGUGGAGCGUGUGUGGUUAACUGGCACACUAACUCGUAUUUAACAAGGUAGGCAAAGGGUAACUUAAUGUUUAUCAUAGUAUCGAUGGAGCGUGUGUGGUUAACCGGCACAUCGAUUGAGGGGUAAACACUUAAGGGUACCAAGUUAUUUGCAUGGUUACUUCACACCUUGUUUUGUGAUCCUCGGCAUCCCAGUCACAAAACCUGAAGGGCACACUCGAGAUUGAAACAUGCCAUUGAAAACUUCAAUGAAUCUCAAAAGAAUCUAGGAGUUUCAAAACCAAUUAAAACCUAAUAAUACAUUUCGUUUAUCUUGGUGGAAAUUGGUGAAUCGUCAUUCACCUACCUUCAAAUAUUUUAUAGCUUGGAUUACGGCAUCCCUCUUCCGAAAAGUUGUCUAAUUCAGACAUCUAUGAUCUUCACAAAUCUCUUGGAACUUCACUUCCUUCAUCUCCUCCAAUUAUUCUCUCUAACCCACAAUUUCAAGGUCACUCGAGCCCUAUUGGCAAGCAAAGUCUAUGUGUGCUCACAUCUUGGAGAUAAAGUCACAUAUUAACAAGCCGAGAGAGUUGGGUGUCAAAGUCUUGAGAAAGUUGGAUGUUCAAUCACUUUCUAUGUCACCUAGUGAGUUCCUCUGGGACUAACAUGGAAUAGACUAUGACAUGACCCUUAAUGAUCUUAUCUAUUUGCUUGGUGCUUCUAAAUCAACGAUGAUUAAGAGGACUAGUAAAGCAAAUUUGAUUAGAAUAUCAACUUCCCAAACUUCCAUAGACAUUGACAAUGGUACAUGGUAAGGGGCAAUGGAUACGAACUUGCCAAAUUUACCUGAAAGAUCUUCAGGUAAAGUCCACUAUCAAACUCUGUUAAGUUUCUAUUAUGAGAUUCUUAUUACAUGAUGUGACUAGGUCACAUAUUGAUUGUAACGCCCGUAGAUCCGGGCUAGCCAAUUUAGGGAUAAUAGGGGUCGAAAACGACUUUUCUCCACAAGAUUAUUUAGAAUAAAUAAUCUUAACAAUGUUAUAGUAUAUGUCACAAGGUUUCCGUACAUAUAAAGAACGCCGAAAUCCGAGUUAUAACGAAGAAGUUAUGACCCGUCGAAGUUUCGCGUCGGAACCGGCACGGCGCCGGGAAGCGUAAAUAGUAAAUUUAUGAUAGAGAGAGAUUUAGCCUUAGCGCUCUAAACGAAAGUCGUAGAAUAUGUUAAACUAAGAACAUCGAUAAAAAGAACGCCCAAAUCUGACUUCGUAUGAAGAAGUUAUGAUUUUUCGAAGUUUCGGAUUAGCGGUGUACAGCCCGAAAUUCGAAUUUUAGAUCGAUUGAUUUUUAGCCGACACAACCUAAACGAGAAUCGAAGAUCUCGUUAUUAGUAGCGUAACGAUAAAAAGACAGACGAAAAUGGACAUCGGAUGAAGAAGUUAUGAGAUUUUAACGGACCAAUCCUGUCCCGGCCUGUUAAAAAUAUAACUUUAAAAAUAAAGUCAAAAUUAGCCGACGGAGUCUAAACGAAAGUUGUAGAGUACGUCUCCACCUACGCGUGGAUAUAAAGAACUUCAAAAACGGAGUUCGUAUGAACGAGUUACAAAUUAUAAUAGCCUAUUUACGUAUUAAAAUAAAGUAUAAAUCAUAUAUACGUACACAUAUAUAUACAUAUGUAUAUACCAUUAGAAAGGCAUCGACGAUGCGGUCAUUAUAAGACUAAUGUUGAGUUCUUUCGACAUUAGUUUAGUACAAAUAUCAUUAAAUCCAUUUAAAAUAGUAUUAUAGAGGGGUGUUUAGUUGUUUAUAUAACUAAAAGGUCAUUAAGUAAUUAUGGAGGGUAGUUUUUGAAAAUUCAAUUAGUAUAAAUAAGAGCCUUGGGCUCUCAUAUUUCUUGCACCAUUCUCUUGAUUCAAGAGUCUUUCUCUCCUUAUCCCCCGAGCAUUUCGGUCCCUCGUGAUUCGACUUCUCUUUCUGUAGUUUUAGUAUAGUAAGGUGAGCGCUGAAGCGCUGCACGAAUCUUUCUUAGAAAGAUUCAGCGACGAAGUUCUGCCCCUGCAGAGCCCGACUCCUAGCUAAAAUCCCCUUGUAAGUAAGUUAUGCUUACCCUAUUUUAAAUAUAGUUUAUAUUUAAAAUUAGUAUUGUUAUUAUAAAUUUAUAAUAAAUAUUUGAGCUAUUAUUAUGACUUAUAUAAGUGUCGUUAUAAUAUCUUUUUAACUACUCGCGGUACGGGGAAUCUGGUUUAAAGGGCCGCAUAGGGUUGUUGGAUUUCAGAAGUGCUAUAUGCCAAAAUGGUCCUGCCCUCCGGUGUUUUAUGUCUGGCCCCUGUCUGUACAUAGUGGUUGGAAAGUAUUGUUUAAACGCUUAUAUAAUAAUAAUAAUAAGACUAAUAAUUAGUCACGGUAAAUAUUAGACUAAAAUCUAGUGGUAAUAAUACUAGGUUUCGUCGAAGGAAAUUAUUUUAAAGUAAACGAAGCGCUGUCCGAGUACCGAGUCACCACCUUCUCAGGUGAGUGCAUAGUCCCUUUCAUCUUACACAUAGAUAUGAAGUAUUUUAAUAUAAAUUACGUGUUGUGUGUGCAUAUUGUCUGAAUACUUGCUGUCUAUGCUGGGUGAAAGAUUUUUAUACAUGUUUUAAAUGAUUUAAACUGUAUAUGUAUUUUAUAUCUACAAAAUGUGUUGGGUAAAACAUGGGUAGAUGAAAUAGUUGUUUUGUGAUAACACGAUGGGAGACAUCAAUGUUGUCAGUGAUCCAGUCAUCUAGUGGAGUAUAGAUGAUGACCAUGGGCGAUACUAGACGGUCCGGUGGAACGCUAGUAAGCUCGUAACCUGUAGGUGUUUUUGAACUAGGUGCUCAUUAGGUAUUUUGAACUGAGUGUGUUCACUACGUAUCUUUGAACUGAGUGUGUUCACUAGGUAUUUUGAACUAAGUGUGUUCACUAGUUACUUUUGAACUAAGUGUUUACCAGAUGUUUUGGACUACGUGUUCACCAGUUGUAAUCUAUAAGCUUUGGUAACGAUGGACUUCGUGCCGAUUCCUUAGGAUAAUCCUUAGGAAUGAAUGAACGAGAAAUAGCUGAUUCUUAGGGUAGAUCCUUAAGAGUAAAGAAGAUAAUGGGGAUGGGUAAUUGGGUUUAAUUGCUUGAUUGUUUAAACAUAAUAAUUAUAUUAUUGUGGGUUGAAAACCCUAUGUACUCACCAGGUUUCCCAACCUGACCCACUCAGUUUAUUUAUAUCACAGGUGUUGAUAUGAAGUCACAUUACACUGAGAGAUUAAAGAGAUGUAGAUCACUAGUGUAAAUAAAUGUAAGUUCUGUUUCUGCUUAUGUUUCUGUAUUGACAAUGACAUCCCAAAUGUUUUUAAAUGAAUAAAAUACGUCUCUUCGAAAAUGUUUUAAUAACGUAUUUAUUGUGUUUUUCUGGGAACAAAUUCCGCAACAUUUUUAUGAAAAGAAGUACUCUGACUUUUAUAAAGCAUAAAUAAAACCGGUCUUUUCUGGCCGUGAUUUUGGGGAUGUCACAUUGAUGUUUUAAGAAUCAAAGAAAAAGUGAAGAAGGAAGUAUAUGUUGAUUCUAAUCGCGAAGAUGGAUUUCGAUCACAUGGUUCGGUGAUCAGAAUUUUGAGUUGUAACAACAAGUUUUUCAUAUGCUUUUGCACUGUAAGGAUAAGUUUUCCGCAAAGUUUUAAAUAAAAUUUUUGGUUUUAUUUAUUCUAAGUAUCCUUACAAUGGGAUUUGUGAAAAAUUGUUGGUUAUAUGAUUCCAUUGAUAGCAAUAUUGGAAAAUGGAUUUGAUUCUUUCAUUUGUGGCAGUGUCUAAAUUUACCAAACAAUGAAAUAUUCUCAUCACCCAAGUUUCAGUUAGAUAGAAACUUGGAAUCAUGCAAAUUGUAUGAUGAAUGAGAAUUUUCAUCUUUGAAAUAUUAAGACUAAUUCCUUGUUCACAUGUUUAAGUGAAUCAAGUGAAGGACUAAGGGAUCAACUACACAUCCAUGUGCACUAGUCAAAGUUCACAACAAAAUAUCAAUAAUACUAUUCGUCAUGUUUUACAAAAGUUUAGUAAAUAUGGUUAUACUUACAAGUUAAUGUAUAAUUCUGAAACAUUGGAAAAGUUUCAAUGUAUAGCAGAACGAAUAAAAAGAAUCAAAUUAAGCAGAAGGAUAAAAGUUUCUCAAAUCUGAAAAGAUGGGAGAGUACUUUAGUAUCAUGUAAUAUGAUCAUCUUAAUGAUUAAGAGACCUUAUCACAAUUCAUCCCCUAAGUGCAUUUUGAUAGCUAAGAAGAGGAGCUAUGAAUUGUUGAAGUGNUGGUUAAAUCAAGAAGAUGAGUCUACUUCGUUCUAAAAACAAUUCUAAGAGUUAUACUCUAAGAUUGUAACUUGAGUGACAUGUCUUAAAGAAGGUUUAAAAACACUUGUCAAAUGUAAGAGUAAAAGUUUUCUACUCUUGUACAUUUGAAAUUCGUAAUAUGUGAUGUUUUGGAUAAAACAAAGAUCAACUAAUGCCAAUUAUGUUAAGUGUCUAUCUUGAUUAGAAUCCUCACUAUCUCUUGAAUAUUCGGCAAGAAAGUCUUAUAGGUCAAGGAGACAAUGGGAGUCUAAAAGAUCCUAAAAGGGUUUCAAGAAGUAAUCAAGAAUAAAACCUAUAUUUCACCACUAGCACACAACUAGAGGCUUAUAACCUAUCGUGUUGACAUUUCUAUGCACAUUCCAGUUAAGUUGGCUAUACAUUGGAGUUCUACAUGUUCUCAAUUGUUUUCAUAGCUACUUGGNCAGGCCCUUGAGCUGCCAGAUGGCAAGAAAUUAAGAUUGAGUUCAGUCCAUAUGAGUUUGGAUCUGUCAUUAUCCUUGUCUUGUGACUAUGGUUUUGAAAAUUCACAUGGAUAAGAACACAUACACCAUUAAAUCUAAGUGUCAUAAGGUUUCUCUCCGAUUCAUGAAAAUGAUGGUGAGGAAACACUUUCACUAAGUAGAUUUUAGCUAGAUAGCAAUUGUCAUAUUUGCAUUCUCAAAGUCGUUGGUGGAGCGUGUGUGGUUAACCGGCACACUAACAUGGACUUGUGAGAAGUGGCAAAGGUCUAAACAAUCGAGACUAUGAUUAC